rnacentral:lncRNA from 1 species
GUCUGUCUUCUGGUUUGUAAUCCAGUGAGCCCAAUGCCCCACCUGGGUUCGUCGGCAUGAAGGCAAUCAAGGCUACCAAAGCUGUGCGGACUGCAACAAGAUUUGCUUAGUUCAGUACUUAGGGUGUGUUUGGUUUGACUUUUGGCUUUGGCUUUUGCCUCCCUAAAAGCCAAAAGCCAACCAAAGGGCUAGAUCCAGGAAGCAGCUUUUUCUAAAAGCUGACUUUCUCGUAGUGCAAAUCUGAAAACACCUCUGGACCUGCUUUUAGUGGCUUUUCGGAUGGAACUGUGAAAACAUAUAUCGAAGAAUUUUUAAUGACUUUUAGUGGUUUCCACCAAACGGUUUUUACCUUUUUAACAGCUUACAGCCUACAGCAGCUUUUUUCACAGCUCACAGCCCACAGCAACUUUUUUCACAGCCACAGCCCAACCAAACAGACCCUUAAAGGUUAAAACUUCUGUUAACACAAAAUCAUGAAAAUAAACCAUUCCACAUUGGGUAACCAAAUACAUUCCCAUAUAGUCACCAUCUGAUGAUUUGCAAAUACAACACCAAGCUCAUUUUCAAAGAAGCAUACAAAAUUAAUAAAUACUCCCUCCGUCCUAAAAUAUUAGUCGUUUUAGCUCUUGAUUUUUAUGUUUAUGUUCAAAUGGAUGAUAAUGAAUCUAAAAACAUAUAAAACAGAUACAUUAAUUAUUGUAUGAAUCAACUAAAAAGGUAAAACAAAUUUUAUUUUGGGACGGAGGGAGUAUCAAAUUAACUAUUUGGUCUAUUUCCAAAUUAUAGCAACUGAACAAGGAAAACCCGUUCCAAUUGAAAUGCAGAUAAAGUAAAAAAAUCUGCUAUCAACAAAUUGUUUGAGUUGAAAACCCAAUGUCAAAAACAUUGAGUGCUUUUAUCGACCGGGUUAUACUAAUUUAGCGAAUGUACAGCAUACUCCAACAUGCAUUAAAAGCUGUUUACAAAAUUCCAUAGUCACAGAAGCAAACCAACCCUAGUAUUACAAAAUUCCAUACUCUCAGAAGCAAACCAACCCUAGUACCCAACUAGAGUAUUAUUCAUAUAUUCAUCUUAGGAAUGAAGAAACAUAUUUACUUUUGGUCUAGCCAAAAGGCAAGUACUUGCCUGAUGGAAAUCCAAAGACCAAAAGAAAAAACAAAUUUAUUUUGCACCAUGCUCGUAAUAGCCCACAAAACCAUAUAAAAGUGGGCGAUGAAUAAUGGUGCUUUUCAGCUUAAUACAGGAGCCCUUUAGCAAAUCUGACAGAGCACUUCAGCGGCCAUUUAGGCCAAUCUAGGUGGAAGUUUUAUGUGAGUUUCAUUUGUAUUAAAUAGGGUGCCACAUAAGCGUUUUUAAUGACGUGGCAACAUUUUUAAGAGAGAACUCUCUGGGCACAAUUACAAACUCUAUAAGUCGUGAAGUAAAUGUAUUUGAAACCAUAGAAUGAAACUAUGCAGUGAGGAUGGAUGCUUUAUCCAUGUUUUAUUUUUUACAUGAUGCGGCAGUCUUAGAAACAACAUAAACUCCCCAUUGAGAAUAGCCUUAUAAACAAAUGACUAAAGAUUACUCACCAAUAGGGGUGGUAAUGGGCUCUAGAUUUUACACUAUAAAUUUUAAGGAUCAAAUCGGAUUAGGAUGGAGCUCUAUUACUAUUCAUUUUUGAACUAAAAUUAAUUAAGGGCCCUAACGUAUUGUGAAAAAACAUUUGGAUCUUGAUCCAUUACCACCCCUACUCACCACUCCAUGAAGGCUGCCAGUGCUCAGGGUGGUAAUUGGAUAUGCUCAAGCAAAUCUUCUUCUGAAUCUCAAAGCGUCCACUUGGCUGCAGCACACAGUGAAGUCAGCAACGGCUCACAAACAUUGUAGUGAGAUGACAGAGAUCAAUUAGAACACAGACACUACAUACCGUAAGUAGCAUGAAGGACGGUGGCUUGAAUGGAUAAUCCGAAGGUAGCUGGAUCCUGCCAUGAUAAAUUCCACCCUCAAACUCGCUGUCUCUCGGACCAAGGAUAGCAAAUUGCCACUCGAAGAUGUCCUCCUAUUCGAAUGAAUGAAUUGUGAAACUUAUCAGUGUCAAUCGAAUUGGCAUCUUGAGCCUCCUUGCCAAAAAUAUGCCCUUACUUCGGAGAUGAAAUUUUAAAACAAACUCCACUUGAUACGCAAUCAACUGCUAAAUGGAAAGGUCCUACAGCUAAUUUAUCGUAUUACCAGUUGAAUUAACAGAUCUAGAAAAAAAAAGAGAAAGCAAACCGGUCAACAAAUUAUCGAGACCCUAAAACACCGAACACCAGAAUACGAGUAAAUACAAUCAAUAAUCAGUCGACAUCCGAUUAAGGCCUGAAUAGGAACAGAUCGGGCAAAUUCCGUUAUUAAAAUGAGCGAUCGGGUUGAGAUUGGGACCUCGAGGGGGAGGGACAUGAAGUCGGGUGAGGGGUUGGACUGCAUCUCCUUGACCUCCUGCAGGAUCCGCUUCACCGCCGGGUUGCUCCGGUUGUACUGAAUCGUGGCCGCCAUCACUGCCUCCUCAGGUAACCCUCUAUCCUCACCGCCACCACCUACCGGCGCAAGGGUUGGGCAGCCUUCAAAUUGGGAACGAAGAGAGAAAGUGAGAAACGAAAAGAGACGACAUGUAGCGGAAGGCCGGAAGCGCGUGAGGCGUGGCCAGGUCUCUGCCGCGUGGGACAGGCGAGUGGGUUGGACCCCACCAGUGGGGGACGUUGCGGUGAGAGAUGACGUGUUUGGGUUUACGUGACAUGGCGCGUACCUAUUGGUUGGAGGGUCGUGGGCGAAUUGGUUGAGGGCCAUAGUCUAGUGUCAAAGUCCUCUAUGUCCGAAAACAUUUUCUCUACAGGCUAGUUUAGAAAUUUUAUUUUCUCAUAGGAUUUUCAUUUCCUUAAAAAAAUAGUUCAUUUUUUCUUAAAAUACAAAUUUUUUAGAAAAAUAGAAUUCCCAAAUUAGCACUAAAAGUUUAUUCUGGUGUAUAAGUUGUUCGAAGUUUUCUACAUAUUAAAUUACGAUCUAAUGCACAACCGAAGCAGGUUCGGUUCAGUGUGUCCAGAAACAAUAUUUAACCAAAUUUAGGCUAUUUUCUCUUUGUCUUCAUUUACUUAUACCCUUAAGCACUUAUAUAAUUUAGUGUGCAUUUGGUUCAGCUGUGUGAUAAGAAUAGCUGCUACGAGUUGUCUCCUAUGAAAAAGAUGUUGGUUUAAAUUGCUAUGAGUUGCCAAAUAUAAACAAAUUGUAUAUUGUUCAUAUGCAUCUUGUUUAACUAUAUCUCUUAAUCAGCAUAUCUAAUCAAAAAUUGUUUUCAUAUUUAUGUUCCUGAUUUUUUAAAAAUAAAACAAUUUUACAAUUCCAUUUUAAAUAUUUUUAUUUCAUUUAUUAUAACAUUAAAUUAUUUUUAAUCCUAUUUUACUUUCUAUUUUACACAUAUAUUUAUUAAUAUAGCGAACUUGGUAAAGUAGCAAAAGCAGAUUCCAGGCUACUUUCAAAUUUGUGCUACAGAAAAGCUACGUUUUUUAACAUAGAUAUAAAAAAGCUAAACCCCUUUAGUUCAACUUAUAUUCAAAAAACUGAACCAAAAGCACCCUUAAACAAACAUAUUCUUAGUCUAUCCAAAUACUCUAAGCAUAUGUCUUUAUCUUUUUGCCCUGUCUAAGUCCAUUUGCUCAUUUUUACCUAGUUUCUUCCAAACUUAGCUCCUGGAAUGCCAUUGUGCAUAUCUGGCCAAUCUAGCCACUUUCACCUUUUAAACUUAUCCAAACGCUUAAACCACUCAUGGUUUUCUUAUUCCAAAAUAUGUCAUUUCUAAUUGAGUUCUGAGUUGUUUUUCAUUUUAGGUCCUUUAUAUUCGUUCUUAUUAAUCUGCAACCAUCCACUUAGCAACUCAGGUAGUUCAUUAAGUUAUUAUGGUCACUAAACAUAAAAACAGUUUAGAAAUGGCUUAAAGCCCAUUUCUCUUUUAGAUAAGCACUGCUGACUGAAUAGUGACAGGAGGAGGAGUCGAGAGAGAGAGAGACAGGGGCGUGAGGUACUGCAAAUUUGGGUCGGGUCUAAAGCCAAACGGGAGCUUGGCAACUUUGUGUUACUUAAAUUAGCACAUUUCCCAGCACACCCCAUCUACCGUUGUUUACGCGGAAAGCAAACUUAGGUGUUUGGUCACCACCUGCUGGGGACUUGUUCUCAAAUGCUGAGUUAAGAACAAGACAACACAAAUGUUAAUAGUUAAAACCUUCGUCCUUCGAAGCAUUAUCUCCCUCGGGAUAUAAUGAUCUUCAGACGAAGGUCAUGAAGGACAUACCUUCAUCAUCUUAGUACGUAAUAAUGAAAGCAGAAACAUAUGAAACAUAGAAAAGAACAUGAAUAAUCACAUUAAAUCAUCAGAUUAUCUGUGUUCUUAUUAUAUAAUCAUGAACAAGCAUUGAUGAUAUUAAUUACAUUUGUACCUUCGACUUGACAGGAGGUAAGAAUCCAAAAGCAACGUGCAAGUGAUUACAAGUCAGCGUGAACAGUAUGGUGUUAUUGUUCAUCUAUUUAUAGGCACAGGACGCAGCCUGGGUAAAAUUACAUCCAUGUCCUUGACACUUACUACUGACUAAGGAGUAAUCAGUCGAGGACUUGGCAGUAUAUUCCCCUUUAGGUCGGUUCCAUUCUACAUCAUCGUCCUUGCGCUAAGCCGAAGCUUCUUCAUCCGUAGCUUCGGAAUUGAUUCAUCCUUCUCCCAGAUCGCGCCUUUCAUGUCGUGCACACCUUCAUCUCAAAGUCGAAGGUUCCUGUGACAGUAUAUUAUACUUGGAAAGCAUGUUAGUCAUGUUUUUGAGGACCUUCGGAAGAUGAAGGCCUCCAACAAUAUUCCCUCACAGUAUUAAUUUGUUCUUGUAACAACAAAUUCAGACUGCGACGUGAACGAAGGCCUUAAGCCGAAGGUCCGAAAAAAUACCUUCCCUUCGCUAGAAUAGCGAAAGUCAAUGACAAAUGUGGCCCGCCAAGUUGCAAUGUGCUAGGCGUAUAAAUAGAAACCCACAUCAGCAGCAUUUGUUACGCCAUUUCUGUUCCUCGCGUUAUUUUUUUCAAAUUUUUAAUUCUCUUGCCAUCAGCUCUUGCUUGAUUUUCAAUCUUUGUGAUAUACUAGAGUUUUGAAGAAAUGUCUAAGGAGAAGAAGGUAUGUGAGGUGACGAAGGUGGCCGAGGAGAAGAAGGUUGUGGACCCUUUUAUUGUUGGGUUUUAUGAAUCUAUGGCAAAAACAAAUACAGAGAAGAUUACCAAGGAGAUAAUGGCGGAUUUAUCUGAAGAUUCUGAUGACAAUGAUGAUUUUGAUGUAGAAAGUGGAGAUGAAGAUUCCAAAGAUCGACCCUGGCGGCCAAGCCAUACUAUAUUCGGAAAGUCGACCAUUAAACAAAGUCAGGUUGACGCCAUGAGGGGAAGGUACUUUCGUGAUAUGUCUAUUGUGAGGGUUGGAGGAGAUAGCACCGCCCCUGCUCCUGAAGAAAAUGAAGUUGUUGUUUACCGAAGCUUUAUGAAGGCAGGCCUUCGGUUCCCAUUGAGCAAAUUUGUGGUUGAAGUGCUGAAGAUAUUUCAGAUCUUUCUACAUCAAAUUACUCCCGAAGCCAUAACUAAAAUGGGGAUGUUUGUUUGGGUUGUGAGGAGCCAAGGGCUGGAACCGAGCGCAAAGUGUUUUUGCAAUAUGCACGAACUAUUGUACGAAACGAAGGCCACUAGCAAAGAACAGUAUCACAACAAUUUCGGUUGUUAUGGAUUCAUCGCCCGUCCCAAUGCAAGCUACCCGGUUCCAACAUUUUGGAAAAGGUGGCCCGGGGCCUAGAUGGAGGAAUGGUUUUAUGUUAAGAAUAAUCUGAUUGAGAGGGAGGAUGAUAGUCGCCUAGAGGGGGGGUGAAUAGGGCGAAACUGAAAUUUACAAAUAUAAAUACAACUACAAGCCGGGUUAGCGUUAGAAAUAUAAACGAGUCCGAGAGAGAGGGCGUAAAACAAAUUCCAAGCGAAUAAGCAAGUGAGACACGGAGAUUUGUUUUACCGAGGUUCGGUUCUUGCAAACCUACUCCCCGUUGAGGAGGCCACAAAGGCCGGGUCUCUUUCAACCCUUCCCUCUCUCAAACGGUUCCUCGGACCGAGUGAGCUUCUCUUCUCAAAACAAAGCCGUGAACAAAACUUCCCCGCAAGGGCCACCACACAAUUGGUGCCUCUUGCCUUGAUUACAAUGGAGUUGUGAUCUCAAGAACAAGUGAGAAAGAAAAGAAGCAAUCCAAGCGCAAGAGCUAAAAUGAACACGGCAAAUCACUCUCACUAGUCACUAGGGCUUUGUGUGGAAUUGGAGAGGAUUUGAUCUCUUUAGUGUGUCUAGAAUUGAAUGCUAGAGCUCUUGUAGUAGUUGAGAAGUGGAAAACUUGGAUGCAAUGAAUGGUGGGGUGGUUGGGUAUUUAUAGCCCCAACCACCAAACUUGACCGUUGGCUGGAGGCGUCUGCUCGAUGGCGCACCGGACAGUCCGGUGCACACCGGACAGUCCGGUGCCCCUGCCACGUCAUCACUGCCGUUGGAUUCUGACCGUUGGAGCUUCUGACUUCUGGGCCCUCCUGGGUGUCCGGUGCACACCGGACAUGUACUGUUUGAUGUCCGGUGCACCGGUAUGGGCAUGUCUGACGUCUGCGCGCGCUGCGCGCGCAUUAAAUGCACCGCAGGGAGCCGUUGGCGCCGAAAAGAGCCGUUGCUCCGCUGGUACACCGGACAGUCCGGUGCACACCGGACAGUCCGAUGAAUUUUAGCGGAGCGGCUGCCACGCGAAACCGAGGCUGGUGAGUUCCGGAGACCGCGCUUCCUUGGAGCACCGGACAUGUCCGGUGCACACCAGACAGUCCGGUGAAUUAUAGCGCGCCGGCUUCCGAGAAUUCCCGAGAGUGAAGAGUUGGAGUCUGAGUCCCCUGGUGCACCGGACAGGUACUGUUCACUGUCCGGUGGCACACCGGACAGUCCGGUGCGCCAGACCAGGGAUGCCUUCGGUUGCCCCUUUGCUCCUUUAUUGAAUCCAAAACUUGGUCUUUUUAUUGGCUGAGUGUGAACCUUGUACACCUGUAUAAUCUAUACACUUGGGUAAACUAGUUAGUCCAAAGAUUUGUGUUGGGCAAUUCAAUCACCAAAAUUAUUUAGGACUUAGGUGUAAGCCUAAUUCCCUUUCAAUCUCCCCCUUUUUGGUGAUUGAUGCCAACACAAACCAAAGCAAAUAUAGAAGUGCAUAAUUGAACUAGUUUGCAUAAUGUAAGUGUAAAGGUUGCUUGGAAUUUAGCCAAUAUAACUACUUACAAGAUAUGCAUGGAAUGUUCCUUUCUUAUUUAGUAUUUUGGACCACGUUUGCACCACAUGUUUUGUUUUUGCAAAUUCUUUUUGUAAAUCCAUUUCAAAGAUCUUUUGCAAAUAGUCAAAGGUAAAUGAAUAAGAGUUUGUAAAGCAUUUUCAAGAUUUGAAAUUUUCUCCCCCUGUUUCAAAUGCUUUUCUUUUGACUUAAUAAAACUCCCCCUAAAAGAGAUCCACCUCUUAGUGUUCAAGAGGGUUUUGAUAUACCAUUUUUGAAAUACUACUUUCUCCCCCUUUUGAACACAAUAGGAUACCAAAUGAUAAAUACUUUUGGAAAGCACUAAGUUUUUGAAUUUGGUGGUGGUGGAGCGGUCCUUUUGCUUUGGGCUCUUCUCCCCCUUUUUGGCAUGAAUCGCCAAAAACGGAAUCAUUAGAGCCCUCGAAGUAAUUUCUUCCCCUUUGGUCAUAAGUAAAUGAGUUAAGAUUAUACCAAAGACGAAAUCCGGUCCUUUUGCUUUGGGCUUUUACUUUCUCCCCCAAAGACAAGGUCCUUUUCUUGGAGCGAUGGCGAAGGAUGAGUUACGGAGUGGAAGCCUUUGUCUUCGCCGAAGACUCCAAUUCCCUUUCAAUAUACCUGUGACUUGGUUUGAAAUAGACUUGAAAACACAUUAGUCAUAGCAUAUAAAAGAGAUAUGAUCAAAGGUAUUCAAAUGAGCUAUGUGUGCAAGCUAGCAAAAGAAGUUUCUAGAAUCAAGAAUAUUGAGCUCAUGCCUAAGUCUGGUAAAAGAUUGUUCAUCAAGAGGCUUGGUAAAGAUAUCGGCUAAUUGAUCUUGAGUGUUAAUGUAAGAAAUCUCGAUAUCUCCCUUUUGUUGGUGAUCCCUAAGAAAAUGAUACCGAAUGGCUAUGUGCUUAGUGCGGCUAUGCUCGACGGGAUUGUCGGCCAUUUUGAUUGCACUCUCAUUAUCACAUAGCAAAGGGACUUUGGUUAAUUUGUAACCGUAGUCCCGCAGGGUUUGCCUCAUCCAAAGCAAUUGCGCGCAACAAUGACCUGCGGCAAUGUACUCGGCUUCGGCGGUGGAAAGAGCGACCGAAUUUUGCUUCUUUGAAGCCCAAGACACCAAGGAUCUUCCCAAGAACUGGCAAGUCCCCGAUGUGCUCUUCCUAUUGAUUUUACACCCCGCCCAGUCGGCAUCCGAAUAACCAAUCAAAUCAAACGUGGAUCCCCGAGGGUACCAAAGCCCAAACUUAGGUGUGUAAGCCAAAUAUCUCAAGAUUCGUUUUACGGCCGUAAGGUGGGAUUCCUUAGGGUCGGAUUGGAAUCUUGCACACAUGCAAACGGAAAGCAUAAUGUCCGGUCGAGAUGCACAUAAAUAAAGCAAUGAACCAAUCAUCGACCGGUAUACCUUUUGAUCCACGGACUUACCUCCCGUGUCGAGGUCGAGAUGCCCAUUUGUUCCCAUGGGUGUCUUGAUGGGUUUGGCAUCCUUCAUCCCAAACUUGGUUAGAAUGUCUUGAGUGUACUUCGUUUGGCUAAUGAAGGUGCCCUCUUGGAGUUGCUUGACUUGGAAUCCUAGAAAAUACUUCAACUCCCCCAUCAUCGACAUCUCGAAUUUCUGUGUCAUGAUCCUACUAAACUCCUCACAUGUAGACUCGUUAGUAGACCCAAAUAUAAUAUCAUCAACAUAAAUUUGGCAUACAAACAAGUCAUUUUCAAGAGUUUUAGUAAAGAGUGUAGGAUCGGCCUUGCCGACUUUGAAGCCAUUAGCAAUAAGGAAAUCUCUAAGGCAUUCAUACCAUGCUCUUAGGGCUUGCUUGAGCCCAUAAAGCGCCUUAGAGAGCCUAUAAACAUGGUUAGGAUACUCACUGUCUUCAAAGCUGGGAGGUUGCUCAACAUAGACCUCUUCCUUGAUUGGUCCAUUGAGGAAGGCACUUUUCACGUCCAUUUGAUAAAGCUUAAAGCCAUGGUAAGUAGCAUAGGCUAAUAAUAUGCGAAUUGACUCAAGCCUAGCUACGGGUGCAUAGGUUUCACCGAAAUCCAAACCUUCGACUUGUGAAUACCCUUUGGCCACGAGUCGAGCUUUGUUCCUUGUCACCACACCAUGCUCAUCUUGCUUGUUGCGGAAGACCCAUUUGGUUCCUACAACAUUUUGGUUAGGACGUGGAACUAAAUGCCAUACCUCGUUCCUCGUGAAAUUGUUGAGCUCUUCUUGCAUCGCCACCACCCAAUCCGAAUCUUGGAGAGCUUCCUCUACCUUGUGUGGCUCAAUAGAGGAAACAAAAGAGUAAUGUUCACAAAAAUGAGCAACCCGAGAUCUAGUAGUUACCCCCUUAUGAAUGUCUCCGAGGAUAGUGUCGACGGGGUGAUCUCGUUGGAUUGCUUGGUGGACUCUUGGGUGUGGCGGCCUUGGUUCUUCCUCAUCCUCCUUUUCUUGAUUAUUUUCAUCUCCCCCUUGAUUAUUGCCAUUAUCUUGAGGUGGCUCAUCUUCUUGAUUUUGCCCUUCAUCAACUUGAGCCUCAUCCUCAUUUUGAGUUGGUGGAGAUGCUUGCAUGGAGGAGGAUGGUUGAUCUUGUGCAUUGGGAGGCUCUUCGGAUUCCUUAGGACACACAUCCCCAAUGGACAUGUUCCUUAGCGCGAUGCAUGGAGCCUCUUCAUUACCUAUCUCAUCAAGAUCAACUUGCUCUACUUGAGAGCCGUUAGUUUCAUCAAACACAACGUCACAUGAGACUUCAACCAGUCCAGUGGACUUGUUAAAGACCCUAUAUGCCCUUGUGUUUGAGUCAUAACCAAGUAAAAAGCCUUCUACAGUUUUAGGAGCAAAUUUAGAUUUUCUACCUCUUUUAAUAAGAAUAAAGCAUUUGCUACCAAAAACUCUAAAAUAUGAAAUGUUGGGCUUUUUACCGGUUAGGAGUUCAUAUGAUGUCUUCUUGAGGAUUCGGUGAAGAUAUAACCGGUUGAUGGCGUAGCAGGCGGUGUUGACCGCUUCGGCCCAAAACCGGUCCGGUGUCUUGUACUCAUCAAGCAUGGUUCUUGCCAUGUCCAAUAGAGUUCGAUUCUUCCUCUCCACUACACCAUUUUGUUGUGGCGUGUAGGGAGAGGAGAACUCAUGCUUGAUGCCCUCCUCCUCAAGGAAGCCUUCAAUUUGAGAGUUCUUGAACUCCGUCCCAUUGUCGCUUCUUAUUUUCUUGAUCCUUAAGCCGAACUCAUUUUGAGCCCGUCUCAAGAAUCCCUUUAAAGUCUCUUGGGUUUGAGAUUUUUCCUGUAAAAAGAAUACCCAAGUGAAGCGAGAAUAAUCAUCCACUAUUACAAGACAAUACUUACUCUCGCCGAUGCUUAUGUAAGCAAUCGGGCCGAAUAGAUCCAUGUGGAGUAGCUCAAGCGGCCUGUCGGUCGUCAUGAUGUUCUUGUGUGGAUGAUGGACUCCAACUUGCUUUCCCGCCUGGCAUGCGCUACAAAUCCUGUCUUUCUCAAAAUGAACAUUUGUUAAUCCUAAAAUGUGCUCUCCCUUUAGAAGCUUAUGAAGAUUCUUCAUCCCAACAUGGGCUAGUCAGCGGUGCCAGAGCCAACCCAUGUUAGUCUUAGCAAUUAAGCAUGUGUCGAGCUCAGCUCUAUCAAAAUCUACUAAGUAUAGCUGACCCUCUAACACACCCUUAAAUGCUAUUGAAUCAUCACUUCUUCUAAAGACAGUGACACCUUCAUCAGUAAAAAGACAGUUGUAGCCCAUUUGACAUAAUUGAGAAACAGAAAGCAAGUUGUAAUCUAAAGAAUCUACAAGAAAAACAUUGGAAAUAGAAUGGUCAGGAGAUAUAGCAAUUUUACCCAAUCCUUUGACCAAACCUUGAUUUCCAUCCCCGAAUGUGAUAGCUCGUUGGGGAUCUUGGUUUUUCUCAUAUGAGGAGAACAUCCUUUUCUCCCCUGUCAUGUGGUUUGUGCACCCGCUGUCGAGUAUCCAACUUGAGCCCCCGGAUGCAUAAACCUACAAAACAAUUUUAGUUCUUGACUUUAGGUACCCAAACGGUUUUGGGUCCUUUGGCAUUAGAAACAAGAACUUUGGGUACCCAAACACAAGUCUUGGAACCCUUGUGUUUGCCCCCAACAAACUUGGCAACUACUUUGCCGGAUUUGUUAGUAAGCACAUAAGAGGCAUCAAAAGUUUUAAAUGAAAUGGCAUGAUCAUUUGAUGCAUUAGGAGUUUUCUUUCUAGGCAACUUGGCACGAGUUGGUUGCCUAGAGCUAGAUGUCUCACCCUUAUACAUAAAAGCAUAAUUAGGGCCAGAGUGAGACUUCCUAGAAUGAAUUUUCCUAAUUUUGCUCUCGGGAUAACCGGCAGGGUACAAAAUGUAGCCCUCGUUAUCCUGAGGCAUGGGAGCCUUGCCCUUAACAAAGUUAGACAAGUUCUUAGGAGGGGCAUUAAGUUUGACAUUGUCUCCCCUUUGGAAGCCAAUGCCAUCCUUGAUGCCAGGGCGUCUCCCAUUAUAGAGCAUACUUCUAGCAAAUUUAAAUUUUUCAUUUUCUAAGUUAUGCUCGGCAAUUUUAGCAUCUAAUUUUGCUAUGUGAUCAUUUUGUUGUUUAAUUAACGACAUGUGAUCAUGAAUAGCAUUAACAUCAAUAUUUCUACAUCUAGUACAAAUAGAUACAUGCUCAACAAUAGAUGUAGAGGGUUUGCAAGAUUUUAAUUCUACAACCUUAGCUUGUAAUAUGUCAUUUUUAGUUCUAAGGUCGGAAAUAGUAGCAUUGCAAACAUCAAAAUCUUUAGCCUUAGCAAUUAAAUUUUCAUUCUCUAAUCUAAGGCUAGCAAGAGAUACAUUCAAUUCAUCAAUCUUAGCAAGCAAGUCAACAUUAUCAUCUCUAAGAUUGGGAAUUGAAACAUUACAAACAUGUGAAUCAACCUUAGCAUUUAAGAUAGCAUUUUCAUUUCUAAGGUUGUCAAUCAUCUCGCGACAAGUGCUUAGCUCACUAGAUAAUUUUUCACAUUUCUCAAUUUCAAGAGCAUAGGCCUUUUUAACCUUAACAUGUUUUUUGUUUUCUUUAAUUAGACAAUCCUCUUGGGAAUCCAAAAGGUCAUCCUUUUCAUGAAUAGCACUAACCAAUUCAUUCAAUUUUUCCUUUUGAGCUAUGUUAAGGUUGGCAAAAAGGGAACGCAAAUUAUCUUCCUCAUCACUAGCAUUGUCAUCACUAGAGGAUUCAUAUUUAGUGGAGGAUUUAGAUUUAACCUUCUUUUUGCCGUCCUUUGCCAUGAGGCACUUGUGGCCGACGUUGGGGAAGAGGAGUCCCUUGGUGACGGCGAUGUUGGCGGCGUCCUCGUCGUCGGAGGAGUCGCUUGAGCUCUCGUCGGAAUCCCAUUCCCGACAAACAUGGGCAUCGCCGCCCUUCUUCUUGUAGUACCUCUUCUUCUCCUUUCUUCUCCCCUUCUUGUCGUCGCCUCGGUCACUGUCACUAGAUAUAGGACAUUUAGCAAUAAAAUGACCGGGCUUACCACAUUUGUAGCAAACCUUCUUGGAGCGGGACUUGUAGUCUUUCCCCCUCCUUUGUUUGAGGAUUUGGCGGAAGCUCUUGAUGACGAGCGCCAUCUCCUCAUUGUCAAGCUUGGAGGCGUCGAUUGGUUGUCGACUUGGUGUAGACUCCUCCUCCGUUGCUUUGAAUGCAACGGGUUGAGCUUCGGAUGUGGUGGCAUCAUCAAGCUCGUUGAUCUUCCUCGAGCCUUCGAUCAUGCAUUCAAAACUCACAAAAUUUCCGAUAACUUCCUCGGGGGUCAUUUUGGUAUAUCUAGGAUUACCACGGAUUAAUUGAACUUGAGUAGGGUUAAGGAAAAUAAGUGAUCUUAGAAUAACCUUAACCACCUCGUGGUCAUCCCACUUUACGCUCCCGAGGUUGCGCGCUUGGUUCACCAAGGUCUUGAGCCGAUUGUACAUGUGUUGCGGCUCCUCCCCUUUGCGAAGCCGGAACCGACCGAGCUCCCCCUCAAUCGUUUCCCGCUUGGUGAUCUUGGUGAGCUCAUCACCUUCAUGCGCGGUCUUGAGUAAAUCCCAAAUCUCCUUGGCGCUCUUCAACCCUUGUACUUUGUUAUACUCCUCUCUACUUAGAGAGGCGAGGAGUAUUGUUGUUGCUUGAGAGUUGAAGUGCUCGAUUUGGGCCACCUCAUCCUCAUCAUAGUCCUCAUCCCCUACGGAUGGUACCUGCGCACCAAACUCAACAACAUCCCAUAUGCUUUUGUGGAGCGAGGUUAGAUGAAAUCGCAUUAAAUCGCUCCACCUAGCGUAAUCUUCACCAUCAAAAGUUGGUGGUUUGCCUAAUGGGACGGAAAGUAAAGGUGUAUGUUUGGAAAUGCGAGGAUAGCGUAGGGGGAUCUUACUAUACUUCUUGCGCUCUUGGCGCUUAGAAGUGACGGAGGGCGCAUCGGAGUCGGAGGUAGAAGUUGAUGAAGUGUCGGUCUCGUAGUAGACCACCUUCCUCAUCCUCUUAUGCUUGUCGCCUUUCCGAUGCAGCUUGUGGGAAGAAGAUUUUUCCUUCUUCUCUUGGUGGUGAGAAGAGGAAGCCUUUUUCUCCUUCCGUUUGGAGGAGUCCUUCUUCUUCUCCUUCCUCUUGGUGUGGGACUCUUCCGAUGAAGUGCUCCCAUGGCUUGUAGUGGGCUUUUCGCCGGUCUCCAUCUCCUUCUUGGCGUGAUCUCCCGACAUCACUUCGAGCGGUUAGGCUCUAAUGAAGCACCGGGCUCUGAUACCAAUUGAUAGUCGCCUAGAGGGGGGGUGAAUAGGGCGAAACUGAAAUUUACAAAUAUAAAUACAACUACAAGCCGGGUUAGCGUUAGAAAUAUAAACGAGUCCGAGAGAGAGGGCGUAAAACAAAUUCCAAGCGAAUAAGCAAGUGAGACACGGAGAUUUGUUUUACCGAGGUUCGGUUCUUGCAAACCUACUCCCCGUUGAGGAGGCCACAAAGGCCGGGUCUCUUUCAACCCUUCCCUCUCUCAAACGGUCCCUCGGACCGAGUGAGCUUCUCUUCUCAAAACAAAGCCGUGAACAAAACUUCCCCGCAAGGGCCACCACACAAUUGGUGCCUCUUGCCUUGAUUACAAUGGAGUUGUGAUCUCAAGAACAAGUGAGAAAGAAAAGAAGCAAUCCAAGCGCAAGAGCUCAAAUGAACACGGCAAAUCACUCUCACUAGUCACUAGGGCUUUGUGUGGAAUUGGAGAGGAUUUGAUCUCUUUAGUGUGUCUAGAAUUGAAUGCUAGAGCUCUUGUAGUAGUUGAGAAGUGGAAAACUUGGAUGCAAUGAAUGGUGGGGUGGUUGGGUAUUUAUAGCCCCAACCACCAAACUUGACCGUUGGCUGGAGGCGUCUGCUCGAUGGCGCACCGGACAGUCCGGUGCACACCGGACAGUCCGGUGCCCCUGCCACGUCAUCACUGCCGUUGGAUUCUGACCGUUGGAGCUUCUGACUUCUGGGCCCUCCUGGGUGUCCGGUGCACACCGGACAUGUACUGUUUGAUGUCCGGUGCACCGGUAUGGGCAUGUCUGACGUCUGUGCGCGCUGCGCGCGCAUUAAAUGCACCGCAGGGAGCCGUUGGCGCCAAAAAGAGCCGUUGCUCCGCUGGUACACCGGACAGUCCGGUGCACACUGGACAGUCCGGUGAAUUUUAGCGGAGCGGCUGCCACGCGAAACCGAGGCUGGUGAGUUCCGGAGACCGCGCUUCCUUGGAGCACCGGACAUGUCCGGUGCACACCGGACAGUCCGGUGAAUUAUAGCGCGCCGGCUUCCGAGAAUUCCCGAGAGUGAAGAGUUGGAGUCUGAGUCCCCUGGUGCACCGGACAGGUACUGUUCACUGUCCGGUGGCACACCGGACAGUCCGGUGCGCCAGACCAGGGAUGCCUUCGGUUGCCCCUUUGCUCCUUUAUUGAAUCCAAAACUUGGUCUUUUUAUUGGCUGAGUGUGAACCUUGUACACCUGUAUAAUCUAUACACUUGGGUAAACUAGUUAGUCCAAAGAUUUGUGUUGGGCAAUUCAAUCACCAAAAUUAUUUAGGACUUAGGUGUAAGCCUAAUUCCCUUUCAGAGGACAUUAAGGAAAUUAUCCAGCGCCCCAUCUAGUCUCGCUUCGGCCUUCGAAGGCCGAAGGUGGCGAUUAAAGGUGAUGCCGAAGUGUGUCAAAAGGUUUCAGUACUGUCUGUGCUUUCAUUGGCAUAAGAGACAUAAUCCAAGAGCACAUAGCCUACAGAGUGUGGCCACUUGAGGAUAGUUGGGAGAUGCCGAAGGAGACUGCUGCUGGGUCCAGCGAAAGUGGAUUAGUUCGAUUGAAAUAUACCUUCAGAUACAGAGAAAAGUUCGACGAACUGAAUGACGACUGGUUGAAAUGCAUUGAGGCUACUAGCGAUGAGUUGCUUGGGACAUAUACCAGGGCCGUAGAUGAUGCUUUGUCCUCAGCCUUUGGGGGUCGGAGCAAGAAAAGAUUAAACAGAGUUUUCGAUGCGAUUGGUUUUAUGUAUCCUGAUUAUUGCUAUCCCCUGCGAAAGCAGGGGGAAAAGAGGAAAGAUGCCGCUUCGGCCAUUUCUGCUAUGCCGAAGGGCAAGAAAAUCAAAGUUUUGACCCACAGGCCCAGAUAUAUUGAAACGACCACAGUGUCGAAAUCUGGUGAGGAGACAUCUUCCGCUGCCGAGGCGAAACCGGCUGCUCCCGCCGCUCGGAGUGCUGAAGAAUCGACUGUAGUGCCGAAGGUGCCUAUAGUCGAGCCAGUCGAAGCCGAAGAUGAGACAACCAGAAAGCCAGAAUUAGAAAAGGCAACAGAUCUGCCAGAAAUUCUGAGCCAACCAGUAGAAGCGGAAGGUUGCAAAAGCUCCGGCCACCACUCCCAAGAGGAGAAGAAUGGCUAGCAUGCUAGACGCCGUUGUGGAAACAACAAGAGCGCUGACUCUUGCUCCUGUGAAGAAGGUUGUCGAAGCUGCUACAACACAUACAGAAACCGAAGCUGGGCCCUCAGUGCCCGCUGAGAUGAAGCUCGCCGCAACCGAGCAGAGGGCCGAAGAAGAAUCUCCAGAUACUGGCGUAGCUCUGGAGAAAAGUGUGGCCAAAGAAGCCAAAUCCCCUGCUCCCGAAGCACCGUCUGAAGGUCUUGAUUAUAUCAUUCGACAUGCUUCAGGAAAAAGAUUAUCCGAAGAAGAAGUUUUUGAAGCCAAACACUAUGCCCGGGAACUGAAGUACCUGAAGGGGGCCUUAGUGUUUAACGGUACGGACAAAUAUGAUUUCUUGUACUGCCUCUCGGACAACAAAGAGUUAUCCGUCUGCCGGGAGAUGGCCAAAAGUAUGGGUUUUUCGAAGCUCGAAGCUGGUCUCUGCGCCAUGACAAAGGCUGACCUCGCGGACAGCCUCACAUACAACAGUCUGAAGGUACAGAAGUUGUGAAUUUUGAGGCUUAUGGACUUGGGAAUGAAGUCUUUUAUUCUCAUAUUAAUCCUUUAUUCUUUCUUGUAGGGCUUAAUCCUUAGCACCGCCCUAAGGACGCAAAAGAAUGUCUAAGACGAGAGCUGCACUAUAGCUCUCAGCAACCUUCGAUCAGAGGUCAUCAAGUUGAGAAACGAGGCCAUGGAGAAAGACAAAAUUCUAAUUUCAUUGGUGGCUAAAGCAAAAGAAUAUGAAGCAAAAUUUAAUACUCAAUCCGAAGCUUAUAAAGCCGAAAUUGAAUAUCUUCGUAAAAAACUUGCCAAAGCCAAUGAAAAUUGUGCUCUCGCAAAAGCUAGCCAAGAAAUUAGUGAAUGGUGGAAGACCAAGCUAGAGAAAAAUGUUGAGGAGCUUCGCGAAUCCAAGGAAAGAUGUGUUAAAAAAAUCCUUAGAUUGCGUGAAGAAAUUGAAAACUAGCUUUUCCAAAGUGGGCGCUUAUUCUUUUGAGGAGAAUUUUAUCUGAGGCGAUCCUGAGGGCGUUAUUGAGUGGAUAAGCGGGGAAGCCGAAGCUUUCGAAGAAAUUCUGAGCGAUCAUGGGGAUAUUUGUGCUUUCUCCGGUGCUCGGGGAAUUGCGACUAUUCUAGAGAAGGCUGGAUGCGAUCAUGUUAAAGCUAUAGCCCAGGCCGAAGACGCCUUGUCUAUAGGUGACACAAAAGACCCUUCAGCCGAAGCUACAUUGGUGGGCGGAAAAUUUUAUUCCGAUGUCUGGGUGAACGGUGGCCGAGAAUUAGCCAACGAAAUUAUAAAGAAAAAUGAAAAAGACACCCAUGAAGCCCGAGAAGAAGCUAGGCGAGCUGAAGAAGCUGCUGAACACGAAAGGCGCAUAGGUAUUGGUUUUGAAUUUUAGCUUCGGUACUUACUUUGUGGCUUCGAAUUAAUAGUUUACCUACUACAACUAAACUGUCACCGCUGUCGGAGCCAUACAACCCCCUGGCUGAUCCAGACAUGAAGGAAGCACUAGAUGUAAUAAGCAUUGCUAACUCUAUUGUUGAUGAAGUCGUCGACAAGCUAUUGAACGAAGCCGCGAAAAAAAUUCUUAGGGAAGAUUAGACUUUAUUGUAAUAAUACUUUGUAAUAUUUGAUGUAUGGAACAAUUAAUCAGACAUGUAAAUUAUUGUAAUAUAUUUCUUUACGAUGCAUGAAAUUUACGCACAUACCAUUUUUUAGCCUUCGGCGAAAAAACACAUUCCCUUCUUUUCAUGCUUCGUAAAGAAAGAAACCCCUCUUUUGGUAAGUCCGAUAAAAACGUAUUUCCCGAAGUUCGAUUCGUGUCUCAGCACAUUUUCUUUUAUUGCCAAAGAUUUGCUUUGUAUUCAAUCUUUUUUGCUGUUGAUGCGAUAUGAUGUAUGAUGUAAUGUUAUGCAGAAUGAUAUGAUGAUAUGAUGCAAAAAUGAUAGUGAUGCCGAAGACACACACGCGCCCACACUAGAUCACACAAGACUCUGCAUCCCCUUAGUAACGUCUUUUGAGUCUUUUAAGCUCUGCAUCCCCUUAGGAAUGACUUUUGAGCUUCUUCACCUUCUAUUUCGGUGGCAUUUAAGCUCUGCAUCCCUUUAAGAACGACUUUUGAGCUUCUUCACCUUAUAUUUCUGUGGUAUUUGGCUCUGCAUUCCCUUAGGAACGACUUUUAAGCAGAAAACUUACGCUGCGCUCCCUUAGGAACGACUUUUUGCAACUUCGGGACUUAAUUUUUUGCUCUGCAUUCCCUUAAGAACGACUUUUGAGCAGAAAACUUACACUGCGCUCCCUUAGGAACGACUUUUUGCAGCUUCGGAAUUUACUCCGCACACCCUUAGGAACAAUUUUUGAGCUUCAGAAGACUGUGAGGAAGGCAUAUUUUACUCAUUGAUGCAAGCACUAUUAUUAUAAGAAAUCGAAAUUUAGUCCUUCGUUACUUAUUUCUCAUACAAAAAAUAAAAUGGAAUAAAAGAUAAAAGUACAUUAAGAGUAGGAUAUUCUUCAGUAGAUAUGCUUCGAUUCCGACACAAUACUGUUGACUGUACGAGCUUCGGAUUCCUCCCAAAAAUCACGCUGCUGCUGUGCGCGUGUGUGCUCUUCUGGCUGCUGGCUUCGGGUGUGAGUAGGUGGUAUCGGUGGUGGUAACGGGAGCUGGGCCCAGGAAGCUUGAGAAUGACUUGUCGAAGCAGCAUAAGUCGCAUGUUAUUGAUUACCUACGUAUUUUGGUACGUAGGGAGAGUAGCAUGAAGCAGUAUGUAGAAUCUGCUUCGGCUGAUUCUGUCGCGCCUCAGCUUUGGCAAUCUCCUUUUGCUUUUGAAUGGUGACCUGGCAUGUUCUUAUAAUGUGGCCCUUGUCUUCACCACAGAAUAAGCAAUAAAGUUUUUUGGACUGAUCCCCAUACCUUCCUCCAAAGCCCCUGCCGCCUCUGUCCCUUUGGGUUGGUGGCCUAAAAUAACUUUGUUGUUGCCUUAAGGAUUGAGAGCUGUGUUGUGGCCUUUGAAGCUGGCUUCCUCUGUCAUCACUUUGGCUGGAGUUAUGGAUUGAUCUGACAUGCCUAGGGUGGAUUCUUCCUCCGAAGCCCCUAGUCAUUUCAGAAAACCUAUAGGCUUCUUCCCUUCUCUGGCGGAAAUCAUUAUCAGCCCGGAUGUAUUCAUCCAUCUUCUGAAGGAGCUUCUCCAGGGUCUGAGGGGGUUUCCUGGCAAAAUACUGAGCCGUAGGUCCUGGCUGUCACACCCGGUUUUGGAAGGCAAACCGAGUGCGAACUAUGUACGUGCCAGGAUCAGAACUCACGUACACAGCGAUUACAUAAAUGAACAUCAUCACACAAUGCUCGAAUAAUAACAUAAAAGAGUACUUAUUACAUCAUAGAGUCAUAGACAUCCACAUAGUCAUUGUCUUAACAAAUAAAUCAAAGUACUAGCGAAACGCAGUAAAGAUAUGGCCUCCACAGGCAGCUGACUGGGGGGUUGCCGCCAACCCACACCUAGAAUUCGUCUUAAUCUUGGAACUCCUGGAAGUCUCCUUCCACGGCUUCACCUUCUCCUGAGCAGUGGUUACAAUGCGGACAACCUGGUGUUUGGUGGUAAAGCAAGGAUGAGUACACAUCAACGUACUCAGCAAAUGUCCCGUUUGGCUGAAGUGGACUAGCUUUUUGUGGGGUUGGGCUCAAGCAGUUGCUUUUAGUUGGUCAGGUAUUUAUCAUUAGUAGAAGCCAGAUUUUAGCAUUAGCCAACCCGUAAACCAUUUCCUCAUCGAGGAACAUCAUCAUCAUAGUCGAACCAGAACCAUAAAUAAAAUCAUUGUAUCUCGAACCAUCUGUAUCUCUAAUCAAAGAGGAUCCCAAGGCUGCUCUUAACCGUGAGCACGGCUGAUAUACCAGUUUCACUACCCUCUGUAGAGGUUGCACACUUUACCCAUGAGUCAUGAUUCCCUUUCUACCCGGGGAGAGCUAAUCCCCAUUGACCACUACCUAGGUGGUCCGGCAGGGCAUCACUAUGUAGCUUUUACAAAGAUUCCCUAGAGAUCAUAGCUGCCCGUUAGGUUUCUCCAGUUUGAUAAACACAGUACCCCUCCCCGCAGGAGAGUGACUAACAAAGAGCAAAACGAAAGAACCUCGGCACUCAGCCUCGGCAGAGCAAGCACUGUGCCUGGACCCCAUUGACGGCACGACGACGAAGCAACUACACCUCUAGUUCCUCUAAUUAAUUGGCUAAGGGCAUCCCAUUUCACCCUCAUGGUUGCACUGUUAUCCCGGGUGGUCUCUCAACGAACCAGUCCUUACGGAGAGGUACUCAGGAAACAGCCUGAGCCCCCUAGAGUAUCACAAGAUCAUCAACAUCAUCAGGAUAACAGUAUCAUAAAUUGUCACAUCAUGUUCAUUGAUUAAGUUAAAGCAAUAGCAGAGUGCUAACCAUAACAGCCCAUAAGGUCAUCAAGGAUAAAGUAAAGUGUAAAGCUAGUCAAUCCUUAGGUUUCAAGUAAGUAAUGCGGGGUAGUAAGUUAUAAAUGAAUAGGACAUAAUGGGACAGAGGACACUUGCCUUCACCAAACUGCUGAUCAGGGACUUCCUCUGCAACCUCCUCGGGAAACACAGACUGCUCGUUGUCUACGUAAAGUAAUUAUUCACACUAUGCACUUGGGAAGAUAACAAACAAAAAGCAACAUACCAAACAUAUGCAGCAGAGAGAUCACAAGUUCAUAGUUGGAAAGGGAUAGGCACUCUGGUGUUCCCUAGGUCUGGGGUAGAGGACUAUACAAGGUGAUUCACUAUCCACUAAUCAGGUUUAAGUCAGUGGUGGGAUUAAUUUAUUACAUGAUUUUAAGUUACUAAACUUAAGUGUUUAAGUCCAUAAACUUAAGUAAUCCAACUCUUAUUAAAGUCUACCAAUUUCUAAUUAUCUCAAUUAGGGUUCCAAUAGCCUUAAUCCUAUCCUGGUGAUUAACUAUUAAUUGGUACAUGGAAACAGUAGAGAAACAUUGUUUAAAUGGAUAAACAAAACCAUCAUGAGCAUUUUGCAAUUUGAAGCACCUAAUUUGGAGUUCAUAUGACAAAGUUAUGAAUUUUACAAGUUUGGGGAUUAAAAAAUAUACCCUAAAUACCUAUUUUGAAUUAAAUAAAAGGUCCAGGGAAGGUUGGGGAGGGCACAGAGAGUCCUCUGGUGGGGUCUGGGUCGGGGCAGGGGCACCGGAGGGGGGCGGUUCACGGCGGAGCGGCUCGGCGGCGGGAUAACACUACUCCGGCGAGGAAUUACACACGGCAGAAGGCAAUACACGGGUCGAUAGGGGCGGGAGAGGUUCUUUACCUCAAGGCGGGCUCCAGGGACUCCUCGGCGGCGGCAAUGGCGCGACGGUGGCCCGGGGCGGCGGUGGCGGACCUCCGCGGCUGCACGGGGAACGGCGGGUGAGCGCGGGCAGAGAGAAAUAGGGAGGGGGAGAGGGAAUUGGGGCGCGUCCCGGGUUGCGGACGCCGGGGCGAAGCUCACCGUGGCAACGGACACGGCGGAGCUCCAACGGCGGCCGGGAAACGAGCUCGGGACGGUGGGGAUUUGUGGCGGCGGUGCUCUGGCGUGCGCGCAACGAGGGAGAGGUGGAAGAGGGGUCCGCUAGAGCGCAAAUGGGGAAGGGGGCGAGGGCGAGUGGGGCUCGGGGCUCAAGUGGCCAGGGGCGGGUCAGUUGCGAGCUCCACGCGCGACGUGGGCGCGGAGAAGGCGGCCGCGCGCAGCUCGGGCGGCAGUUACGCGAGGACGACGGGGCUGACAAGCCGGGCCCGCGAGCAGAGAGAGAGGGGAAAGCGGGGGCGGGCACGCGGAAGGCGGCCGCGCUGACGGGCGGGCCCGCCAGGGCAGAGAGAGCGGGGGGGGGGGGGGGGGGGGGGGAGAGGCGCGCGCGCGCGGGAUGGGCCUAGCUGGGCCGAAAGGCUGAGGGGGCGGGGUGGCGGGCUUCUUUUCCUUUUCUUUUUAUUCUGGAAUUGUUUUCUCUUUUCUUUUUAUUUUCUCCAAUUGAUUCAAAUCCAAAUGAGCCACAAAUUCAAAUCAAACUUUCCAAGAAUUAUGCACCAAGCAAAAGUGAAAUCUAGGGUUCAUCAUGAUGCAACAAUUCAUACUCCCUUAGGGUUUAACAUAAUAAACUAUAAUUACAAAUAAAGUAAGCACUUUCUCCUAUAGAAAUGGGAAAGAAAAGGGUGAGGAAGGAUGAGAAAAGGGAAGUAACACCUGAAUUUGUGAAUAUGAGCAAAGAAAUUUUAUACCCCCAAAUUCAGGGUGUUACAAACCUAUCCCCCUUAAAAGAAUCUCGCCCCGAGAUUCAAGGUUGGUCAGCAAAGAGUUCAGGGUAUUUGGCCUUCAGAUCAUCUUCUCGUUCCCAGGUUGCUUCUUCUUCGGAGUGGUGACCCCAUCUGACUUUACACAUUCUGAUGGUGUUCCUCCGGCUGACUCUGUCUGCAAACUCCAGAAUCUGCGUUGGCUUCUCUAUGUAGGUCAGAUCCUCUUGGACUUCCAAACCCUCCACUGGCAACUGUUCUUCUGGUACUCGCAAACACUUCUUCAAUUGCGACACAUGGAACACAUUGUGCACUGCCGACAAACUUUCUGGUAGGUUGAGCUGGUAGGCCACUUCUCCACGCUUUGCUUGAAUCUGAUAUGGUCCGACGUACCGGGGUGCUAACUUGCCUUUAACUCCGAACCUUCUAACUCCCCUGAUAGGUGACACCUUCAGAUAGACGUAGUCUCCCACUUCAAAACUCAGUUCUCUUCUCCUUCUGUCCGCAUAGCUCCGCUGCCUUGAUUGUGCUAUCUUCAGAUUCUCCCGAACCAUUUUGAUAUUCUCUUCGGCUUCAAGCAAAAUGUCGGGGCCAAACACCUGUCUCUCUCCAGGCUGGUCCCAAUGCAGUGGAGUCCUACAACUCCGUCCAUAGAGCGCCUGAAACGGUGACAUCUUCAAGCUGGCCUGGUAACUAUUGUUGUAGGAGAAUUCUGCAUAAGGUAACCUUUUGUCCCAUCCUGACUUGUCUUGCAACGCACAGGCUCUCAACAUAUCUUCUAGGAUCUGAUUAGUUCUUUCAGUCUGACCGUCUGUCUGCGGGUGAUAAGCUGAGCUGAAGUUCAAAUGUGUGCCCAAAGCUUCUUGUAGCUGUUGCCAAAAAUGAGAGGUGAACUGCGUUCCUCGAUCUGACACUAUCUUCUUCGGCACACCAUGAAGGCAAACUAUCCGUGACAUGUAUAACUCAGCUAGCGUUGCUCCGGUGUAUGUUGUCUUCACCGGUAUGAAAUGGGCCACCUUUGUUAAGCGGUCCACAACCACCCAGAUGGAAUCAUAACUGGCCCGGGUACGAGGUAGGCCAACUAUAAAAUCCAUCCCGAUCUCAUCCCACUUCCACUGAGGAAUCCGCAAAGGCUGCAACAAUCCGGCGGGCCUUUGAUGCUCUGCUUUGGUUCUCUGACAGCUAUCACAGACGGCAACAUAUUCUGCGAUCUCUCUUUUCAUGCCAUACCACCAAAACCUCCUUUUUAAAUCCUGAUACAUCUUCUCACUUCCCGGGUGUAUGGAGUAGGCUGUCUCAUGAGCUUCCUUGAGGAUCAGUUCCCGAAUAGGUUUGAGGUCGGGGACACACAAUCGGUCCUUGAACCAUAUUACUCCCUCUUCGUCCUCUCGAAAGUCUUUGCCUCUUCCUUCUAAGAUCAGCUGUCGGAUCUUGUUGAUGUUUUCAUCAUCCUUCUGCCCUUCUUUGAUCUCCCGCUCUAGGGUGGGUUCUAAUUCCACUGUUACUCCUUGCGUACUGUUCAGGAAACCGAGGCUCAGUCUGUCGAACUCCUUGGCUAACUCAUACGGCAUCGGGUACGAGGCCAACAUGUUAACUUGACUCUUCCUGCUCAGAGCAUCUGCAACGACAUUGGCUUUGCCUGGAUGGUAAUGUAUCUCUAACUCAUAGUCUUUGAUCAAUUCCAACCAUCUUCGCUGCCUCAUGUUUAACUCUGACUGGGUGAAUAUGUACUUCAGACUUUUAUGAUCUGUGUAGAUAUCACACUUCUGCCCAUACAGGUAAUGUCUCCAGGUCUUUAAGGCAUGAACCACUGCUGCCAACUCCAGGUCAUGUGUGGGGUAGUUUUUCUCAUGGAUCUUCAGCUGACGAGAUGAGUAUGCUACAACUCUUCCUUCUUGCAUUAGCACACAUUCCAAUCCGGUGUAAGAAGCAUCGCAAUACACUGAGAAUGACUUGUGAACAUCAGGCAGGACUAACACAGGAGCUGUAGUCAAUCUACUCUUCAGUUCUUCAAAUGCUUCCUGACACUUUUGAGUCCAUUUAAACUCAACCUUCUUUGCUAGUAACGCUGUCAUUGGCCUAGCAAUCUUUGAGAAGCCUUCAAUGAAACGCCUAUAGUAUCCGGCCAUCCCAAUGAAGCUCUUGAUCCCACGAACAUCCUUCGGUGCUUUCCAGUUCAGGAUAUCUGCUACUUUCUUUGGAUCCACUACUAACCCAUCUUGGUUUAUGAUGUGACCCAGAAAUAAGACUUCAUGAAUCCAGAACUCGCAUUUGCCCAGCUUGGCAUACAACUGAUGCUCUCGAAGUCUUUGCAAUACCAUCUUCAAAUGCUCUACAUGAUCUUCCUCACUUUGAGAGUAUAUGAGAAUGUCAUCGAUGAACACUACCACAAACUUGUCCAGAUAAUCCAUAAACACACUGUUCAUCAGGUACAUAAAGAAGGCUGGAGCAUUUGUCAAACCAAAGGACAUAACUGUGAACUCAUAUAACCCAUACUUGGUGAUGAAUGCCGUCUUCGGUAUGUCCGAGGGUCGGAUUCUGAGUUGAUGGUAGCCUGACCUCAGAUCUAUCUUCGAGAAUACGCUGGCACCUCUGAGCUGGUCAAACAGAUCUUCUAUCCUUGGCAUGGGGUACUUGUUCUUGACAGUGACUUCAUUCAAGGCUCUGUAGUCUAUGCACAUCCUUUUGGUACCAUCUUUCUUCUCUACAAACAACACUGGAGCGGCCCAAGGCGAGGUACUUGGCCUGAUGUAACCCUUCUCUAACAUCUCAUCUAUUUGCUUCUUGAGUUCCACCAAUUCUGGUCCAGACACUCGAUAGGCUCUUUUGGAAAUGGGGGCGGUACCAGGGAUAAGCUCUAUGGCAAAUUCGACUUUUCUCUCGGGUGGCAUGCCCGUUAGCUCCUCGGGAAACACAUCCGGAAAGUCUGACACAACCUUGAUAGCCUCGAGCGGGUUGGGCUCCUUACUAUCAACUGAAAUCUGGUGACAGACUCCCUCUUCUGAUUUAGGCAUCCAUAGCUCGGCCACUACCUCUUCUCCUGACGGGGACCUCAAUGUUACGGUCCUCUUGUCACAACUAACAUUUGCUUCAUACUUCAUUAACCAGUUCAUCCCUAGAAUAACAUCUAUCCCAGGGGUGUCUAUUACUAUUAAGUCACUGGGGAAUCCUAUCCCCCUUAUUUCCACCAUUAUAUUUGAGCAUAUUUUAUCUGUUUGCACCUUGCCACCAACCGAAUUAAUCCUCAUGGGCGGCAUCAUUGCCUCUACUGAAAUGUUAUGCAAUUCUACCUAGGUUGCAGUGACAAAUGAAUGAGUUGCACUAGUAUCAAAUAGCACUUUCGCAGGAUGAGAUUCGACUGAGAACAUACCUACUACCACAUCUGGUGCAUCCUGGAUUGCUUCGGCCUCCAAGUGGUUCACCUUUCCACGGUUGUACGCUUGGUUACGAUUGCCUGCUGCCGGCUGCAGUACACCUUGCCUUGUUGGAGCAUUGGGGUUGGUCUGCUGCUGCGCCAUCUUCUUUGGGCACUGCAUCGCCCAGUGGCCUUGUUCUCCACAGUGGAAACAUCCUCUGCCUCCUCCUUGUGCUGGGGCUGCCUGGUUGUUCUGAUUUGCUACUGGGGCAGGAAGGCGAGGUGCCUGGUUGUUCUGCUUCUGAUACUGAUUACCUCCCUGCUGGCUGUGCUGACGAUACUGCUGCUGCUGCUGUGGGUACUGCCUCUGAAACUGCUGCUGAUGCGGACGCUGAUUCUGAUUCUGAUAUCCCUGUGGGUGACCAGGUCUGCCUUGCUGAGACGAACUGCCUGAGAAACAUGGACGGCUGAUGCCUCCGGACUGGGGUCCACUCAUCUUGCGCUUCCGAUCUUCCAUAUCCUUACGCUUCUUCUCAGUCAUCACUGCCCUAUCGAUCAGGUGCUGGAAGGUUGGGAAGGUAUGAUUCAUCAGCUGGUAAUGCAGGGGAUCCACCAAACCUCUCAUGAACCUGUACUGCCUCUUAGCAUCAGUGUUGACAUCCUCGGGUGCAUAACGAGACAGCUGCAGAAACUUGUCUCUAUACUCACUAACAGACAGGGGUCCCUGCUUCAGAGCCAGAAACUCCUCCUUCUUCACGAUCAUCAGUCCCUCUAGCACAUGGUACCUGCGGAAACUCUCGCUGAAUUCUUCCCAGGUGAUAGCUUCAGGGUCAGCAUGGGUGGCGAGGUAGGACUCCCACCAGGACUGGGCUGCUCCCCUCAGCUGACGGGGACCAUACAGAACCUUCUCCCUGUCGUCACAUUGGGCGGUGCGCAGUUCCCUUUCCACUGCGCGCAACCAGUCUUCUGCAUCCAUGGGGUCAGCAGAAUGGGCGAAGGUAGGAGGGUGCCCUCUCAUGAACUCACCACGCUUAUCCCGUGGCAUCUGGGGCAUCUGCACUUGCAAUUGGGGUUGGGGUUGUUGUUGAGCCUGCUGCAUGGCUGCCAGAGUCUGCCCAAUGGCCUGCACUGCCUGAGUCUGCAUCAAGAACAUCUGCUCCACUGACAUCGGGGGUGGUGGGGGAGGCUGCCUCUGUUGUUCCUCCUGCUGGUCAUGCUGCUCUUGUUGAGCACGCCUGUUGCAUCGGCGCCUGUUGUCAGACAUCUGUGGAAGACAUUCAUACAUCAGCAUUGAUCUUACAACCCUUCAGCAAAAGAAGAGAGAAUACAGAAUUCUUCAUGACACUGAGUGAACAAAGAGCUUCACUGAUCCUCAUUAUGAUUCAACACAACUUCUCAGAUGGAAAGGAAAGUAGAAGUAAAUGGUUUCCCAACUAAACAACUGACUUCAUUAACAUUACUAGCUAAGCCAAACUACAGGGGAAACCCACAUGUUGGCUACAGUCAUUACAAAGAUUCAAAUUCAGCACAAGUUCAUCAUAACAAGCAUGAAAGCAACUGAUAAGCAACCUAGACUAAAUGGAAGCAACUGAUAAGCAAACUAAACUGACUACCUAAGACUGAGACAUCUGACUUAAGAAUUAUUACAAACUCCGACGCUAACGAUCUAAGGAUCCAGAUCUAUCCUGGUCUUACAGACAGGGGAACCAUAAGUGUGGUGACCACGUGGCGGUGAGCGGUAUGGGUGCUGAGUCCCAACAGGAGCGGGAGAACCACCCUCCUGGUGAUGGCGCUCUGCCAACUCAGCACGCAACUCCGCAAUCUCCGUUCGAGCCCUGCUUAGCUCGUCCAGAGAGUGGUCCAGCUCAGUGUUAAGCACUGCGACUAGGUUGACUGUGCUGCUCAGCCUAGGGUUAGCCUCACCAACAGGUGAGACAACCACACUCUCUGUGCUGCCAGUAGGACGGCGGGGGUAGUACCGAAGGUUAAGACCGUCGGCCACCCCACCGAACAAAGAACAGUACUGGGAGAGUGCACGUCGUGCUGCAUCCUGCAUAGCCGCCUCUGCAGUGUCCCUCUCGGAGAUGGAAUAGUGCUCCGAAACGGACUUCGCACCCCGGAGAUCAUCCUCUGGACGGCGAACUAGGCAGGUAGCCUCCCAGCGGUCCGGGUACCUCCCGCGACUGUGCUGGUAGACUACACAACGAUACUCGAUCGACCAGGUGUGCCGGUCGAAAGCCUGGCGCAGCAAGGUGUCGAGUGCGUCGUGGAAGUGGCAACCGCGUGCGGCGUCACGGGUGAUGGGUCGGGCGACCCAUCCUUCCGCCUCCUGCGGCUCAGAAGACUCCGUGCUGUGGUCUGAGUCGUCGUCGUCGGGGUCUCCUCCAGUAGCUCCUCCAACAGCCGGGGCGUCCCGCGGUGGUGCAGGGGGCGCCUCCAGCUGGGCCACAGAGGAACGGGGCCUCACAGACUCCACCUCUCGCUGGGGUGGGGAGGAAGAGCCCUGCUGCUCUCUGUGCUGGCGCCGGCGUUCCUGCUCCUCGCGCAGGCGGUGGUGCAGCCUCUCCAGGUGACUCGACUGACCGGACACGGUGCGGUGCAGAGGACGCUCCGCAAGUCGAGACGGCAGGAAAGGAAUCACCGACUUACGUGCAGUGUGUCUAAGACGAGCCAUCUACAAAAGACACCGUAAGCAUAAGAUUAAGAGCAGACCUAAUAUGACAAGUGAAUAAACCAUAGACGGAAUAGGAUAAAAAAUUUUAACAAGGUAUGAUAUAGUAUAUAUAUAUGUAGUAGAACAUAGGGUUGGUCGAGGUGACCGACUUUUGAAGUAACAUCAGAGGUCAAGGUGAGAGGGAAGGUCAAUAGUCCUUAAUACGACCAGUGCUACUCUAGGUCAGCGGUCCUACAGUCAGCAUGGCUUUGAUACCACUUAUGUCACACCCGGUUUUGGAAGGCAAACCGAAUGCGAACUAUGUACGUGCCAGGAUCAGAACUCACGUACACAGCGAUUACAUAAAUGAACAUCAUCACACAAUGCUCGAAUAAUAACAUAAAAGAGUACUUAUUACAUCAUAGAGUCAUAGACAUCCACAUAGUCAUUGUCUUAACAAAUAAAUCAAAGUACUAGCGAAACGCAGUAAAGAUAUGGCCUCCACAGGCAGCUGACUGGGGGGUUGCCGCCAACCCACACCUAGAAUUCGUUGUAAUCUUGGAACUCCUGGAAGUCUCCUUCCACGGCUUCACCUUCUCCUGAGCAGUGGUUACAAUGCGGACAACCUGGUGUUUGGUGGUAAAGCAAGGAUGAGUACACAUCAACGUACUCAGCAAAUGUCCCGUUUGGCUGAAGUGGACUAGCUUUUUGUGGGGUUGGGCUCAAGCAGUUGCUUUUAGUUGGUCAGGUAUUUAUCAUUAGUAGAAGCCAGAUUUUAGCAUUAGCCAACCCGUAAACCAUUUCCUCGUUGAGGAACAUCAUCAUCAUAGUCGAACCAGAACCAUAAAUAAAAUCAUUGUAUCUCGAACCAUCUGUAUCUCUAAUCAAAGAGGAUCCCAAGGCUGCUCUUAACCGUGAGCACGGCUAAUAUACCAGUUUCACUACCCUCUGCAGAGGUUGCACACUUUACCCAUGAGUCAUGAUUCCCUUUCUACCCGGGGAGAGCUAAUCCCCAUUGACCACUACCUAGGUGGUCCGACAGGGCAUCACUACGUAGCUUUUACAAAGAUUCCCUAGAGAUCAUAGCUGCCCGUUAGGUUUCUCCAGUUUGAUAAACACAGUACCCCUCCCCGCAGGAGAGUGACUAACAAAGAGCAAAACGAAAGAACCUCGGCACUCAGCCUCGGCAGAGCAAGCACUGUGCCUGGACCCCAUUGACGGCACGACGGCGAAGCAACUACACCUCUAGUUCCUCUAAUUAAUUGGCUAAGGGCAUCCCAUUUCACCCUCAUGGUUGCACUGUUAUCCCGGGUGGUCUCUCAACGAACCAGUCCUUACGGAGAGGUACUCAGGAAACAGCCUGAGCCCCCUAGAGUAUCACAAGAUCAUCAACAUCAUCAGGAUAACAGUAUCAUAAAUAGUCACAUCAUGUUCAUUGAUUAAGUUAAAGCAAUAGCAGAGUGCUAACCAUAACAGCCCAUAAGGUCAUCAAGGAUAAAGUAAAGUGUAAAGCUAGUCAAUCCUUAGGUUUCAAGUAAGUAAUGCGGGUUAGUAAGUUAUAAAUGAAUAGGACAUAAUGGGACAGAGGACACUUGCCUUCACCAAACUGCUGAUCAGGGACUUCCUCUGCAACCUCCUCGGGAAACACAGACUGCUCGUUGUCUACGUAAAGUAAUUAUUCACACUAUGCACUUGGGAAGAUAACAAACAAAAAGCAACAUACCAAACAUAUGCAGCAGAGAGAUCACAAGUUCAUAGUUGGAAAGGGAUAGGCACUCUGGUGUUCCCUAGGUCUGGGGUAGAGGACUAUACAAGGUGAUUCACUAUCCACUAAUCAGGUUUAAGUCAGUGGUGGGAUUAAUUUAUUACAUGGUUUUAAGUUACUAAACUUAAGUGUUUAAGUCCAUAAACUUAAGUAAUCCAACUCUUAUUAAAGUCUACCAAUUUCUAAUUAUCUCAAUUAGGGUUCCAAUAGCCUUAAUCCUAUCCUGGUGAUUAACUAUUAAUUGGUACAUGGAAACAGCAGAGAAACAUUGUUUAAAUGGAUAGACAAAACCAUCAUGAGCAUUUUGCAAUUUGAAGCACCUAAUUUGGAGUUCAUGUGACAAAGUUAUGAAUUUUACAAGUUUGGGGAUUAAAAAAUAUACCCUAAAUACCUAUUUUGAAUUAAAUAAAAGGUCCAGGGACCUAACUGCGAGAAACCAGGGACGGUGGGUUCAAAUUCCAGAAAACCGGGGGUCUCUUUAAGAAAACGCGCGGGCGAAGGGGUAUCGGGCUACUACGGCCGUCAGAUUUAAAACGAACGGCCAGGAUUAGAUCCUGCGGGUGGGCGUGCGAGCGCGCGGCGGCCUGGGCGACUGACAGGCGGGACCGGGCGGGCAGCGCGGGGCGCGGGCAGGCUGACAGGCAGGGCCGGCGGGCAGAGCGCGCGCGCGGGCGGCUGACAGGCGGGGCCCUACUGGCAGGGAGGCAGGGGGGUGGGGGAAGCGGGCCUGGGCCGCUGGAUCUCGGGCGGACGGCCAGGAUUGGGCUUGGCCUAAUAAAAACGAGGCCGCCCGAUCUGGGACGGACGGUGGGGAUCGGGUGGCCGGCCUGGGCUUAUCCUACGGCUAGCUGAGGCGGCGGCGCUCGUCCCCGCGGCGGAGGACUCGCCGGAGACGAGGGGCGCGGGCGUUUGGCGGGGCUCCGAGGCGACCUGAGCGGCCGGGAAGGUUGGGGAGGGCACAGAGAGUCCUCUGGUGGGGUCUGGGUCGGGGCAGGGGCACCGGAGGGGGGCGGUUCACGGCGGAGCGGCUCGGCGGCGGGAUAACACUACUCCGGCGAGGAAUUACACACGGAAGAAGGCAAUACACGGGUCGAUAGGGGCGGGAGAGGUUCUUUACCUCAAGGCGGGCUCCGGGGACUCCUCGGCGGCGGCAAUGGCGCGACGGUGGCCCGGGGCGGCGGUGGCGGACCUCCGCGGCUGCACGGGGAACGGCGGGUGAGCGCGGGCAGAGAGAAAUAGGGAGGGGGAGAGGGAAUUGGGGCGCGUCCCGGGUUGCGGACGCCGGGGCGAAGCUCACCGUGGCAACGGACACGGCGGAGCUCCAACGGCGGCCGGGAAACGAGCUCAGGACGGCGGGGAUUUGUGGCGGCGGUGCUCUGGCGUGCGCGCAGCGAGGGAGAGGUGGAAGAGGGGUCCGCUAGAGCGCAAAUGGGGAAGGGGGCGAGGGCGAGUGGGGCUCGGGGCUCAAGUGGCCAGGGGCGGGUCAGUUGCGAGCUCCACGCGCGACGUGGGCGCGGAGAAGGCGGCCGCGCGCAGCUCGGGCGGCAGUUACGCGAGGACGACGGGGCUGACAAGCCGGGCCCGCGAGCAGAGAGAGAGGGGAAAGCGGGGGCGGCCGCGCGGAAGGCGGCCGCGCUGACGGGCGGGCCCGCCAGGGCAGAGAGAGCGGGGGGGGGGGGGGGGGGGGGGAGAGGCGCGCGCGCGCGGGAUGGGCCUAGCUGGGCCGAAAGGCUGAGGGGGGCGGGGUGGCGGGCUUCUUUUCCUUUUCUUUUUAUUCUGGAAUUGUUUUCUCUUUUCUUUUUAUUUUCUCCAAUUGAUUCAAAUCCAAAUGAGCCACAAAUUCAAAUCAAACUUUCCAAGAAUUAUGCACCAAGCAAAAGUGAAAUCUAGGGUUCAUCAUGAUGCAACAAUUCAUACUCCCUUAGGGUUUAACAUAAUAAACUAUAAUUACAAAUAAAGUAAGCACUUUCUCCUAUAGAAAUGGGAAAGAAAAGGGUGAGGAAGGAUGAGAAAAGGGAAGUAACACCUGAAUUUGUGAAUAUGAGCAAAGAAAUUUUAUACCCCCAAAUUCAGGGUGUUACACUGGCCGAAGCCCUUUGAUCAUGGCCUCAAUGACAAUUUCAUUGGGCACUGUGGGCGCUUGUGCUCUCAGACGCAAGAACCUUUGGACAUACGCCUGGAGGUAUUCUUUGUGGUCUUGCGUGCACUGGAACAAAGCCUGAGCAGUGACUGGCUUCAUCUGAAACCCUUGGAAACUGGUGAUCAGCAUGUCCUUCAGCUUCUGCCAUGAUGUGAUUGUUCCUGGCCGGAGAGAAGAGUACCAAGUUUGUGCGACAUUUUUGACUGCCAUGACGAAGGAUUUCGCCAUGACUGUUGUGUUGCCCCCAUAUGAAGAUAUGGUUGCUUCGUAGCUCAUUAGAAACUGCUUCGGGUCUGAGUGCCUGUAACACCCUGAAUUUGGGCUAUAAGUUUUCUUUUCUAAUAUCUACCAAAUUCAGGUGUUACUCUCUCUCUUUUCCUUUCUUUUCUUUUGUUUUUCCUAAAUAGUGAGGAAUUAUUUUGUUGUAUAUCUAUGUGUAAGCCUAGUAAAUUAAAACCGAAGUGCUUUGAUUGUCGCAUCAUGCUAGAGUAUACUUUUAUUUUGUUUGGUGAGUGAUUUUGUGGAGCAUUCGUUUAAUAAAAAAAAUUCGAUUUGAAAUCGUGGAGAGAAUAGGAAAGAACAAAAGAUAAAGAAAUAGGAAAGAAAAAUAGGAGAAGGCCCAUUCCUUCCCUCCUUUCUCGGCUGGCCCACCUGGCCCCCCCUCCCCUUUCGCGUCCGCGGCCCCUCUCGUGUUCGGCACGGCGCGACCUUCGACGUGGCGCGCAGUCAGCCCCCGGCGCGCGGCCAGCGCCCCAGCGUGGUCCUGGCUCGCGGCUAGCGCUCCCGGCGCGUCCAUGGCACGCGGCGAGCCCACCUGCACUACUUGCACAACUAGCUUGCUUGCGACGUCGAGCGCCCUGUCCCAUCCCCGUGCUCGCCGUCACCGCCGUUUGUCACAGCAGCGUCUACGUCGCUCUAGUCAUUGCCAAGGUGAACGUCGUCUACCUGUCAUCGUCUACCCACGCUCGUGGUCCGUGGUCGCCUAGCUGGUGUGUUCGCGCCACGUGCCGCAGCUCGUGCGUUGUCGCGUGUGGCACAUAGGUUGUUUGCGCGUCAUCGCCGUGCUGUUCGCGUCACCCGUGUGGGUCGCGUCAACUCCGUAGCAUCAUCAACUCCAUAUUAGUAACAGUAUUAUGUAAUGACGUAAGUUGUAGUCAACUGGCUAGUUAUUUGUUAUCCGAUAUUUAUGAGAAUAACAAUUUGAAUAAAACUAAUUUCUAGUUCUGUUUGCGCUUUUAUAAAUACAAGCUAAUGUGAUUAAUGCCUAUUCAAAUGUUGUAAUUUAUAAGUGUUUAGUCUGGACACGAUGUCUGUUAGUGAUUUUCGUGUGUCGCGCGCUGUCGGGCGUGUUGUUUCGCGCGCCGUCCACGCGUUGUUUCGCAUAGGACCGCGUGUCGUCACGCAUCAUUCAUGUGGGUCGCGCGUUGUUCGUGCACGCCGUUCGUGUGUGUCGCGCGCCUAGCCGCGCACCGUGCGCGCGUUGUCCGCGUGCGAGAUUAAAUCAUUCGCACGUAAUCGCUCAGGUUAGUUAAUUAAUUAUUGGUUCAAGUGUUCACUAUUAAAAACAGUAAGUUAGCCAAAACUGAGUAGUAGAUAUUAUUUACAUUUGAGAAAUGUCGAACUGAAUAUUCCAAUUAAUACUUUCUCAGUGUAAACACGCUAACCCCUCGGUCGUCCGUAGAGGCGCUCUCUAUUUUUUAUUUUGCUUGCUUUUAUAACAUUUUAUCUUGCAUGGUGUAAUGUUCUUACGUAUUUAUAUGUAUGUUUGUUUGUGCUUGUUUGUAUUCGUUGUGCAUCGCGAAUAGAUUGCGAUCUGUUUCUGAGCUUCAAGGAAUCGAAGAUCAAGCGUGGGCGACCAAGUGAUCCAGUUCCUUGAGUUCCACGAGAUUGAAGACCCUGAGCAUCAGUUUGGUGAAGGCAAGUGUCCUCUGACCCAUUAUGUCCUAUUUACUUUAUAAUUCACUGUCCCGCAUACUAUGAACAACCUAAGGAUUGACUAGCUUUCUAUUUACCUGGUCCUUGAUUACCUUUUGGGCUACUAUGGUUAGCUUCAUGCUAGCGCUUUACUUUAAUCAAUGAACAUGAUGAGAUACAAUGAUGAUACUAUGAUUUUAUUCUGGAUAUGAUGAUAUACUGGUGGCAUUUAGGGGACUCGGGCUGUUUCCCGAGUACCUCUCCGUAGGGACCUGUUCGUUGAGAGACCACCCGGGAUAACAGUGCAACCAUGAGGGUGAAAUGGGAUGCCCUUAGCUAAUUAAUUAGAGGAGCUAGAGGUGUAGUUGCUUCGCCGUCGUGCCGUCAAUGGGGUCCAGGCACAGUGCUUGCUCUGCCGAGGCUGGGUGCCGAGGUCCUUUCGUUGUGCUUUUGUUAGUCACCCUCCUGCGGGGAGGAGUACUGUAUUUAUCAAACUGGAGAAACCUAACGGGCGGCUAUGACCUCUAGGGAAUCUUUGUAAAAGCUACGUAGUGAUACCCUGCCGGACCACCUAGGAAGUGAUCAAUGGGGAGUCAUGAUCCCCGGGCAAAACGGGAAUCACGGCUCAUGGGUAAAGUGUGCGACCUCUGCAGAGGGUAAUGAAACUGAUAUAUCAGCCGUGCUCACGGUUAUGAGCGGCCUUGGGAUCCUCUUUGAUUAGAGAUACAACUGGUUUGAGACUCAAUGGUUCUAUUAAUGUUUUGGUUCGAUGAUGAUCAUGAUGUUCCUCGAGGAGGAAGCUGUUCACGGGUUGGCUAUUACUAAAACUUGGCUUCCACUAAUAAUAAAUACCUGACCAACUAAAAGCAACUGCUUGAGCUUAACUCCACAUAAAGCUAGUCCACCUCAGCCAAACGGGACAUUUGCUGAGUACGUUGAUGUGUACUCACCCUUGCUUUCACAAAACACCAGGUUGCUUUUGGUGCAAUCUAUGCUCAGGUAAAGAAGGCGUCGAGGUGGAUCUCCAGGAGUUCCAGGACGUUGAUGAGUUCGAGGAUUAGGCUAGCGACCUCCCCCAGUCAGCUGCCUGUGGUGGGUUGUUUACGUUGGCUACGUUUCGAUUCUGCGUACUUUGAUUUAUAUUAUGUAAAUGACUCUAGUCUGUAAUAUUAUUACUUACUCUUUAUUGUAAUUCGAAGCAUUGUGCUAUGUUGAGUCAUUUAUGUAAUCGCUGUGUACGUGAAUUUCUGAUCCUGGCACGUACAUGGUUCGCAUUCGGUUUACCUUCUAAAACCGGGUGUGACAUAAGUGGUAUCAAAGCCGUGCUGACUGUAGGACCGCUGACCUAGAGUAGCAUUGGACGUUUUAAGGACUUAUUGAUUAUUACUUCACCCCAUCCUUGAUUCUGCUUCAAAAUAUUAGUCAUACUGACUAAUUCUAUGUUGUGCUCCUAUAUGCCCCCUUGCCAAAAGAAUUUUAUUCCAGUAUGAUCUAUACUUCUCUCAAUCUAUUAGAUAUGAUCUCACUCUUGUGCUUGCGACAUCUUUGUUGAUGCCCCCUGACCAUGGCCUUUAGUCUUUUGGGACUCUUUCCUCAUCCAUUAUUAAAUUGCUACCAUUUGACCAUCUCUAUUCCAUUUUGUUAUUGACAUGCUCGUAUCCUUGCAUUUUUAAUACCCUUAUCCCUUAAUCUAAAGCACUUACCCUUGUACCUCUACUACCUAUUUAAACAUUUCAGUUUAUAUGUCCAUGAUCUUACUGUCUUUUGAGACCCUUUCCUAUUCUAUUGAUAAGUCGCUAUCUUUUUGGCAAUUUGUACUUUCUUGGUUUUGGUAUGCUCGUACCAUUGGAAUCUUGCAUACUCUUAUUUUAUAUAUGCUUACCUUUAUGUCCCAAUAUCUGGUUGAAAUAUUUUAGUUAACAUGCCCUUGACCACCCUUGUUUCCUAAUGAUCCAUGAGUGAUCAUUUUAUUUUGCGCACUUGUGGUAAUCUCGUUGUUUCCUUGUAACCUCCUUCGGUAAUGAAUUUUUACUUCAACUCUUCUGUCGGAACCUCACUUAUCUUAUCCUUGAUUGUUUUCUCCACCUUGCCAUUUGGUGAGUCUUGCCUUGACUCUGUCCAUGGAUUAUGCUUUUCAUCAUUAUCACAUUUACCCUUAUCACCUCUAUAUCUUACCUUGAUGUUUAUCUUAUAUUGGCCCUUUAAAAUCUCCUCUUUUCCAUCUCAAUCUGAGCAUUGUACUUUACCUACUGUUCCCUUGGUCGUAUCCUCUUCCUCAUUGCUUGUAAAUCUUCAACUCCAUCCUAUGUUGUGUCUCUGUUUAGCGUUGCCUUGACCUUUCCCAUCUCUCGACCAUACCUUGGUGAUGACAUUAUGUCUGUUAUCUAAAAUCUCCAACUUGUCAUCUCAUUUCGGGAGUGGUAUUCUACUUAUCCCGCCUUUUGGUCGUAACCUCAUAUUUGCCACGCGCCAGCCUGGCCUUAGCUUCAUUCUUUGUUGUACUCGUACCCUUGGUUCCCUUAACUUCAUUCUUUAUUGUACUCGUACCCUUGGUUCCCCUGCACUUUCACCUCUUCCCUUACGCCCUUGUCUGUUAUCGCCUUUAACCCUUGUAAUAUAUGUAUCUUCACCUAAAUGCUUACCUUGAAAUUAUCCUUUAAAAGCCUCCCCUUCCUUUCAACCUAGUUUGAGAGUUGCGAGUUACCCAUCUCUCCCUUGAUUUCUUUUCACUUCUUGUCGCCUUACAAGUUUUGUGUUAAUUCCAUCUCUUGCUAUGUUUUUAUUUGCUAUCACCCUCACCUUGUCGUCCAUCGAUCUUGCCUGGAUACUCAUCUUUAUUCCUACUUCUUAAAACCCCCCUCUUUUCCACCUCAAUUUCAGAGUGAUAGUUUACCUAUCGGGCCCUUGGACGUAUCCUCUUCUUUGCCACUUGCAGAUCUUGUCUGAACUUCAUCCUUUGUGGUACUUAUAUCCUUGGUUCUUAUGCACAUUUACUUCCUCUCUUACAUUCUUGUUCGGUAUCACCUUUAGCCCUUGUAAUAUUCAUACCCUUACCUUCAUGCUUACUUUGAACCUCCCUUUAAAAGCCUUCUCUUUUCCAUCCUUGUUCGAGGAUAAUGUCUUACCUAUUUCGCCAUUGACUGCUCCCCCUUCUUUGACGCCUUGCAAGUCUUGUCUAAAAUACAUCCUUGGUCGUGUUUGUCUGUUAUCACCUUAACCCUUGUCAUCCCUUGAUCUUUACCAUGAUGCUUAUCUUGCACCUGCAUUUUAAAGCCUCCUCUCCCAUUUCAUUUCAAGAGUGACGUCUUGCCUAUCCCGCUCUUGUUCAUUCCCUUUUUCCUCUGUCGCGUUGCAAGUCUUGUCCUAACCCUAUCUUUUGGUGUGUUUUUGCCUUUCACCUCCCUUACCUUUGUAAUCUCUAGAUCUUUCCAUGAUGCUUAUCCUAUGCCUACCUUUUGAAAUAUCAUCUUUUCCAUCUCGAUUUGAGAAUGGUGUUUUACCUAUCCUGACCUUGGUUGCAUUCUCUCCCUUGCCGGUUAUAAUCCUCGCUUUAGCUUCAUCCUUUAUUAUGCUCAUGCCCCUAUCAUGCAUGCCUUAUCAUUCCCCUUGUCUUUUGAUGGCCUUAGAAUAUUUUCCCCUUGGUGAGGAAAGACCACCAUCUAGUUGAUAUUAACGUGUAGCAACGAGAUGCUUGUUGUUGUGUGCUCGUGUUGUUUGUCUUUGUGUUAUGACUGAUUUGCUUCUUUGUGAUGAAUGUUGAUGUGUUGUGGCCCCUGGUCCACAAUGACAUCAGUUUACUAGCUGAGUACCAUAGAGUUAAGUGGUUGGGUUCUCCCCUGCUCUCUCUAAUCCGUCUGUACUUACCUUUUCUCGCUAUUCUCUCCUCUUGCACCUGUCCAUUUGGCAACCUCCAACUCCUCCAAAUCAGUCAAGGUCAGAGUCGGCAACAUCUUCACCGAAUGCAUAUCAACGCUCAUGUUAAGGGGGUUAGCCGCUAACCCCAAUGAAGACAAUGCGAUCAACGUCAACAAACAAGAUCAAUAAGGCGCAGCGAAAGCGUGGUGGGUCCUAACCCACAUGACUCAGGGUCCCCAAGAAGUCAACUCGGCGAUCAAAAUCGUCUCACGAAUCCAAUAGUGAGGAUCAAUUAAUUGUGAACAACCUAUGAAUCAACCUUGUUUUCUUGCUAGCCUCUUCUUGAAUCUCGAGGGCGAGAUUCUGUUAAGGGGGUUAGAUUUGUAACACCCUGAAUUUGGGCUAUAAGUUUUCUUUUCUAAUAUCUACCAAAUUCAGGUGUUACUCUCUCUCUUUUCCUUUCUUUUCUUUUGUUUUUCCUAAAUAGUGAGGAAUUAUUUUGUUGUAUAUCUAUGUGUAAGCCUAGUAAAUUAAAACCGAAGUGCUUUGAUUGUCGCAUCAUGCUAGAGUAUACUUUUAUUUUGUUUGGUGAGUGAUUUUGUGGAGCAUUCGUUUAAUAAAAAAAAUUCGAUUUGAAAUCGUGGAGAGAAUAGGAAAGAACAAAAGAUAAAGAAAUAGGAAAGAAAAAUAGGAGAAGGCCCAUUCCUUCCCUCCUUUCUCGGCUGGCCCACCUGGCCCCCCCCCUCCCCUUUCGCGUCCGCGGCCCCUCUCGUGUUCGGCACGGCGCGACCUUCGACGUGGCGCGCAGUCAGCCCCCGGCGCGCGGCCAGCGCCCCAGCGUGGUCCUGGCUCGCGGCUAGCGCUCCCGGCGCGUCCAUGGCACGCGGCGAGCCCACCUGCACUACUUGCACAACUAGCUUGCUUGCGACGUCGAGCGCCCUGUCCCAUCCCCGUGCUCGCCGUCACCGCCGUUUGUCACAGCAGCGUCUACGUCGCUCUAGUCAUUGCCAAGGUGAACGUCGUCUACCUGUCAUCGUCUACCCACGCUCGUGGUCCGUGGUCGCCUAGCUGGUGUGUUCGCGCCACGUGCCGCAGCUCGUGCGUUGUCGCGUGUGGCACAUAGGUUGUUUGCGCGUCAUCGCCGUGCUGUUCGCGUCACCCGUGUGGGUCGCGUCAACUCCGUAGCAUCAUCAACUCCAUAUUAGUAACAGUAUUAUGUAAUGACGUAAGUUGUAGUCAACUGGCUAGUUAUUUGUUAUCCGAUAUUUAUGAGAAUAACAAUUUGAAUAAAACUAAUUUCUAGUUCUGUUUGCGCUUUUAUAAAUACAAGCUAAUGUGAUUAAUGCCUAUUCAAAUGUUGUAAUUUAUAAGUGUUUAGUCUGGACACGAUGUCUGUUAGUGAUUUUCGUGUGUCGCGCGCUGUCGGGCGUGUUGUUUCGCGCGCCGUCCACGCGUUGUUUCGCAUAGGACCGCGUGUCGUCACACAUCAUUCAUGUGGGUCGCGCGUUGUUCGUGCACGCCGUUCGUGUGUGUCGCGCGCCUAGCCGCGCACCGUGCGCGCGUUGUCCGCGUGCGAGAUUAAAUCAUUCGCACGUAAUCGCUCAGGUUAGUUAAUUAAUUAUUGGUUCAAGUGUUCACUAUUAAAAACAGUAAGUUAGCCAAAACUGAGUAGUAGAUAUUAUUUACAUUUGAGAAAUGUCGAACUGAAUAUUCCAAUUAAUACUUUCUCAGUGUAAACACGCUAACCCCUCGGUCGUCCGUAGAGGCGCUCUCUAUUUUUUAUUUUGCUUGCUUUUAUAACAUUUUAUCUUGCAUGGUGUAAUGUUCUUACAUAUUUAUAUGUAUGUUUGUUUGUGCUUGUUUGUAUUCGUUGUGCAUCGCGAAUAGAUUGCGAUCUGUUUCUGAGCUUCAAGGAAUCGAAGAUCAAGCGUGGGCGACCAAGUGAUCCAGUUCCUUGAGUUCCACGAGAUUGAAGACCCUGAGCAUCAGUUUGGUGAAGGCAAGUGUCCUCUGACCCAUUAUGUCCUAUUUACUUUAUAAUUCACUGUCCCGCAUACUAUGAACAACCUAAGGAUUGACUAGCUUUCUAUUUACCUGGUCCUUGAUUACCUUUUGGGCUACUAUGGUUAGCUUCAUGCUAGCGCUUUACUUUAAUCAAUGAACAUGAUGAGAUACAAUGAUGAUACUAUGAUUUUAUUCUGGAUAUGAUGAUAUACUGGUGGCAUUUAGGGGACUCGGACUGUUUCCCGAGUACCUCUCCGUAAGGACCUGUUCGUUGAGAGACCACCCGGGAUAACAGUGCAACCAUGAGGGUGAAAUGGGAUGCCCUUAGCUAAUUAAUUAGAGGAGCUAGAGGUGUAGUUGCUUCGCCGUCGUGCCGUCAAUGGGGUCCAGGCACAGUGCUUGCUCUGCCGAGGCUGGGUGCCGAGGUCCUUUCGUUGUGCUUUUGUUAGUCACCCUCCUGCGGGGAGGAGUACUGUGUUUAUCAAACUGGAGAAACCUAACGGGCGGCUAUGACCUCUAGGGAAUCUUUGUAAAAGCUACGUAGUGAUACCCUGCCGGACCACCUAGGAAGUGAUCAAUGGGGAGUCAUGAUCCACUCGGCGAUCAAAAUCGUCUCACGAAUCCAAUAGUGAGGAUCAAUUAAUUGUGAACAACCUAUGAAUCAACCUUGUUUUCUUGCUAGCCUCUUCUUGAAUCUCGAGGGCGAGAUUCUGUUAAGGGGGUUAGAUUUGUAACACCCUGAAUUUGAGCUAUAAGUUUUCUUUUCUAAUAUCUACCAAAUUCAGGUGUUACUCUCUCUCUUUUCCUUUCUUUUCUUUUGUUUUUCCUAAAUAGUGAGGAAUUAUUUUGUUGUAUAUCUAUGUGUAAGCCUAGUAAAUUAAAACCGAAGUGCUUUGAUUGUCGCAUCAUGCUAGAGUAUACUUUUAUUUUGUUUGGUGAGUGAUUUUGUGGAGCAUUCGUUUAAUAAAAAAAAUUCGAUUUGAAAUCGUGGAGAGAAUAGGAAAGAACAAAAGAUAAAGAAAUAGGAAAGAAAAAUAGGAGAAGGCCCAUUCCUUCCCUCCUUUCUCGGCUGGCCCACCUGGCCCCCCCUCCCCUUUCGCGUCCGCGGCCCCUCUCGUGUUCGGCACGGCGCGACCUUCGACGUGGCGCGCAGUCAGCCCCCGGCGCGCGGCCAGCGCCCCAGCGUGGUCCUGGCUCGCGGCUAGCGCUCCCGGCGCGUCCAUGGCACGCGGCGAGCCCACCUGCACUACUUGCACAACUAGCUUGCUUGCGACGUCGAGCGCCCUGUCCCAUCCCCGUGCUCGCCGUCACCGCCGUUUGUCACAGCAGCGUCUAUGUCGCUCUAGUCAUUGCCAAGGUGAACGUCGUCUACCUGUCAUCGUCUACCCACGCUCGUGGUCCGUGGUCGCCUAGCUGGUGUGUUCGCGCCACGUGCCGCAGCUCGUGCGUUGUCGCGUGUGGCACAUAGGUUGUUUGCGCGUCAUCGCCGUGCUGUUCGCGUCACCCGUGUGGGUCGCGUCAACUCCGUAGCAUCAUCAACUCCAUAUUAGUAACAGUAUUAUGUAAUGACGUAAGUUGUAGUCAACUGGCUAGUUAUUUGUUAUCCGAUAUUUAUGAGAAUAACAAUUUGAAUAAAACUAAUUUCUAGUUCUGUUUGCGCUUUUAUAAAUAUAAGCUAAUGUGAUUAAUGCCUAUUCAAAUGUUGUAAUUUAUAAGUGUUUAGUCUGGACACGAUGUCUGUUAGUGAUUUUCGUGUGUCGCGCGCUGUCGGGCGUGUUGUUUCGCGCGCCGUCCACGCGUUGUUUCGCAUAGGACCGCGUGUUGUCACGCAUCAUUCAUGUGGGUCGCGCGUUGUUCGUGCACGCCGUUCGUGUGUGUCGCGCGCCUAGCCGCGCACCGUGCGCGCGUUGUCCGCGUGCGAGAUUAAAUCAUUCGCACGUAAUCGCUCAGGUUAGUUAAUUAAUUAUUGGUUCAAGUGUUCACUAUUAAAAACAGUAAGUUAGCCAAAACUGAGUAGUAGAUAUUAUUUACAUUUGAGAAAUGUCGAACUGAAUAUUCCAAUUAAUACUUUCUCAGUGUAAACACGCUAACCCCUCGGUCGUCCGUAGAGGCGCUCUCUAUUUUUUAUUUUGCUUGCUUUUAUAACAUUUUAUCUUGCAUGGUGUAAUGUUCUUACGUAUUUAUAUGUAUGUUUGUUUGUGCUUGUUUGUAUUCGUUGUGCAUCGCGAAUAGAUUGCGAUCUGUUUCUGAGCUUCAAGGAAUCGAAGAUCAAGCGUGGGCGACCAAGUGAUCCAGUUCCUUGAGUUCCACGAGAUUGAAGACCCUGAGCAUCAGUUUGGUGAAGGCAAGUGUCCUCUGACCCAUUAUGUCCUAUUUACUUUAUAAUUCACUGUCCCGCAUACUAUGAACAACCUAAGGAUUGACUAGCUUUCUAUUUACCUGGUCCUUGAUUACCUUUUGGGCUACUAUGGUUAGCUUCAUGCUAGCGCUUUACUUUAAUCAAUGAACAUGAUGAGAUACAAUGAUGAUACUAUGAUUUUAUUCUGGAUAUGAUGAUAUACUGGUGGCAUUUAGGGGACUCGGGCUGUUUCCCGAGUACCUCUCCGUAAGGACCUGUUCGUUGAGAGACCACCCGGGAUAACAGUGCAACCAUGAGGGUGAAAUGGGAUGCCCUUAGCUAAUUAAUUAGAGGAGCUAGAGGUGUAGUUGCUUCGCCGUCGUGCCGUCAAUGGGGUCCAGGCACAGUGCUUGCUCUGCCGAGGCUGGGUGCCGAGGUCCUUUCGUUGUGCUUUUGUUAGUCACCCUCCUGCGGGGAGGAGUACUGUGUUUAUCAAACUGGAGAAACCUAACGGGCGGCUAUGACCUCUAGGGAAUCUUUGUAAAAGCUACGUAGUGAUACCCUGCCGGACCACCUAGGAAGUGAUCAAUGGGGAGUCAUGAUCCCCGGGCAAAACGGGAAUCACGGCUCAUGGGUAAAGUGUGCGACCUCUGCAGAGGGUAAUGAAACUGAUAUAUCAGCCGUGCUCACGGUUAUGAGCGGCCUUGGGAUCCUCUUUGAUUAGAGAUACAACUGGUUUGAGACUCAAUGGUUCUAUUAAUGUUUUGGUUCGAUGAUGAUCAUGAUGUUCCUCGAGGAGGAAGCUGUUCACGGGUUGGCUAUUACUAAAACUUGGCUUCCACUAAUAAUAAAUACCUGACCAACUAAAAGCAACUGCUUGAGCUUAACUCCACAUAAAGCUAGUCCACCUCAGCCAAACGGGACAUUUGCUGAGUACGUUGAUGUGUACUCACCCUUGCUUUCACAAAACACCAGGUUGCUUUUGGUGCAAUCUAUGCUCAGGUAAAGAAGGCGUCGAGGUGGAUCUCCAGGAGUUCCAGGACGUUGAUGAGUUCGAGGAUUAGGCUAGCGACCUCCCCCAGUCAGCUGCCUGUGGUGGGUUGUUUACGUUGGCUACGUUUCGAUUCUGCGUACUUUGAUUUAUAUUAUGUAAAUGACUCUAGUCUGUAAUAUUAUUACUUACUCUUUAUUGUAAUUCGAAGCAUUGUGCUAUGAUGAGUCAUUUAUGUAAUCGCUGUGUACGUGAAUUUCUGAUCCUGGCACGUACAUGGUUCGCAUUCGGUUUACCUUCUAAAACCGGGUGUGACAGUGCCCAUCAUACAUAAGGAGCUGAGGUGGCUUGUAUGAUGGAGGCCAUGGGGUAGCCUGCAGUUAUGCUGACAGAGGAGAAGCAUCAUCAAAAGCAAAAUUUCCAUGAUGGAAAUCAUCAUACCAUUCGUCAUCAUCGUAGGAAUUGUCCUGACGAAGCUCUCUGUGUUGAGGUCUUUGGUCCUGGUCAUCUUGAGUGAGAUCACACAUUUCCUCAGCGGCCUCAUCGAUCUUCUUCUGAAGAUCGGCAAGACGAAGCAUCUUAUCCUUCUUCCUUUGGACCUGUUGAUGGAUGACUUCGAGGUCCCUGAUUUCUUGGUCCAACUCCUCCUCCUAAGGCGUUGGACUUGUAGCCUUCCUUUUUUGGCUUCUAGCUUCGCGUAGUGUUUCUUGGUUGACGUCCAGUGGCUGCAAUGUAGCCCCCAGCGCUGAAGAUUUCUUCGGCGGCAUGACGAAGAUCACAGCUUGCCGAAGGUGGUCGAAUGAGUUCACACACGGUGGGCGCCAAUGUUGGGGACUUGUUCUCAAAUGCUGAGUUAAGAACAAGGCAACACAAAUGUUAAUAGUUAAAAACCUUCGUCCUUCGAAGCAUUAUCUCCCUCGGGAUAUAAUGAUCUUCAGACGAAGGUCAUGAAGGACAUAUCUUCAUCAUCUUAGUACGUAAUAAUGAAAGCAGAAACAUAUGAAACAUAGAAAAGAACAUGAAUAAUCACACUAAAUCAUCAGAUUAUCUGUGUUCUUAUUAUAUAAUCAUGAACAAGCAUUGAUGAUAUUAAUUACAUUUGUACCUUCGGCUUGACAGGAUGUAAGAAUCCAAAAUCAACGUGCAAGUGAUUACAAGUCAGCGUGAACAGUAUGGUGUUACUGUUCAUCUAUUUAUAGGCACAGGACACAGCCUGGGUAAAAUUACAUCCAUGUCCUUGACACUUACUACUGACUAAGGAGUAAUCAGUCGAGGACUUGGCAGUAUAUUCCCCUUUAGGUCGGUUCCAUUCUCCAUCACCGUCCUUGCGCUAAGCCAAAGCUUCUUCAUCCGUAGCUUCGGAAUUGAUUCAUCCUUCUCCCAGAUCGCGCCUUUCAUGUCGUGCACACCUUCAUCUCAAAGUCGAAGGUUCCUGUGACAGUAUAUUAUACUUGGAAAGCAUGUUAGUCGUGUUUUUGAGGACCUUCGGAAGAUGAGGCCCCCAACACCACCACACAAUGACGCACGUCUCGACGACCAUAGGUGCCUCACCGCCUAGCCCACGUGGCGGAUUUAUGCAAGAGAGGUCUCUAGCAUUGUCGUGGCUCAGAAUAAAGGCUAAGACUCUCUUCAACCCGUCGAUCGCCCCUCCCCUUGAUUGUAGAUGUUCAGGGUACCUCUACUGCUGCAACAGCAUGCGCUACUUCGUUCCCUACACGCUUGCUACGUGCUAUAGUGUACGGUGAAGGGAAGUAGUCCGCUAGAUUGAGGGGGGAACUGUGCCGACCCCCUUCCCUCGGUAUGUGUGCAUGAUAGAGUUUGUUAGUUAGGAAAAAAUUGGUAAUAGAUGGUGAAUAGAUAUGAAAAUGGUAUUUUAGGAUUGUAAUAGGGUGUAGGGGGAAAUUAGGGGAAAUCGCUGUACAGGGUGGAGAUGUAGGGGAAGAGAGAUUGCUGAUGUGGCAAGAAAGUGGGGUAUAGAAGGAGAAGUUUAGAAGAAACCGUUGAAGAGAGUCUAAUGUUGUCGCAAGAACCAUCGUGUAGCGUGAGGAUGGAUAGAUGUGACUGGUUGACCACGCGACACUUUGCGGUAAAGAAGCUAGAGAUGGCCUUGGCCAAGGGAAGCACCUCUGCCUCGCAGAGGUCGGCCAUGGGGUCCUCGGACGCAUCGUUUGUCGGCUGCCCCGUCCCCCGUUGCGUCGAGGAAGGUGGUGUCCUCGUCAUUAUUCACGGCGGCAGGGUCAGAGUUAGAGGAGUGGUCGACCGCCACGACAGAGGUGGAGGACUUUGAUGAGUGAAAGCAUCUAGGCCACUGGUUGGUUUUAGUGAUUAAUGAGAACGUAAUGUUAUAUGUGACUAACGUGUGUUUUGCAGAGACAAAUGGUAAGUUAGGUCGCAUUACAGGUAGAAGUAUUACAACGGUGAAAACAAUCCCGGAGAUAAGAACUCGAAGCGACGGCUAAAACGACGAAACAAAAGGUGAAGGACUACGGAGUCCGAGUGUCAAGGAGAUGUGGACACUCGUGAUUUAGUUAGGUCUUUUAUUCUCUUUUAGCCGUACUAUAAAGAGGGGUUGUCGAUGAGUAGUUUGACCAAGAGAGUUCUAGUGUAGUGUUGGUGCACAUUCACACUCAAAUAUAGUGCUAGGUGACACUCUAGAACAUACACUCAAGUUAGAACGAAAACUGAUUUGAAAAACAACAUAUAACAAAAAAUAGGGUUUCUAGCCUUGGGGCACCGGACUAUCCGGUGCACACCGGACUGGUGGGGCCAAGCUGGCCCUGGGGAAGAGUUUUACCCCGAAGAAACCCGAGAGCGCCAAGUUCCCGAGUGGAAUUUUAGUGGCGCACCGGACAGUGCACCGGACAGUCCGGUGUGCCAUCUGCCCAACGACUAGCUGUCAGAAUAGCCGUUGGAGUCGACCGUUGGCGCACCGGUGGCGCACCGGACUGUCCGGUGCGCCCAUGCGCAGAACUUUGCUGGUAAUGGCAAGUUGGUAGGUGAGGGCUAUUUAUACCCCCUCCACCCACCAUAUUCAAUGUCUUGCUGCCCACAUUAAUUCCAGCACAUUGGUAGAGCAUUGCAAGCACCAAAGCCUAGUGAGGAGAUUAGAGAAUCUUAAUACCGCAUUAGUUCCUCAUUAGCGCUAGCGAGAGCCACCUAGAGCACACACCACUUGCAUUACGCUUCUCUUGGUCAAGCGAAAGUCUACGGCUUGUUACUCUGGGUGAUCGGCAUCACCUAGACAGCUUGGUGGCGUUGGGAGCUCGGUGAUCACCGUGGAGAUCUUGUUGGUGACCCGACUCAAGUUUGUAAGCGGUCGUGAGGGAUCCACCGUGCCGGAGUGGCAAAGGAUCAUCUCGUAGUGAGCACUUGGUUCUUGCGAGGACCAAGGGGGAGCGAUACCCUUGCGCGGGUGUGAGAGCACCUAGAAGGGGGGUGAAUAGGUGAUCCUAUAAAAACUUAAACUUUUAGCCACAAAACUUGGUUAAGUGUUAGCACAAUGGAAUUAAGUGGCUAAGGACCGAGCUCUUGUGAAACACAAUGGUCACAAAGAAAACAAGCACAAGAGACACGAUGAUUUAUCCCGUGGUUCGGCCAAGUAUAACGCUUGCCUACUCCACGUUGUGGCGUCCCAAUGGACGAGGGUUCACUCAACCCCUUUCAAGUGAUCCAAUGAUCCACUUGAAUACCACAAUUGUUUUCUUUCUUAUAUUCUUUCCCAUUUGCGAGGAAUCUCCACAACUUGGAGUCUCUCGCCCUUACAACAAAGAUCAAAGUGAAAGCACUAGAGUAAGGGAGGGAAGCAACACACACAAAUCCGCAGCAAUAUGCACACACACAGCCAAGAUUUAAGCUCGAAUGAAUCGCAACAAGUUCACCACUAGAACGGAGCUCAAAUCACUAAGAAAGUCAAUCAAGUGCUCAGAGAUGGAGUGUGGAAGAUUUAGAAUGCUCAAAGUAUGCUUAGGUGACUCCUCCAUGCGCCUAGGGGUCCCUUUUAUAGCCCCAAGGCAGCUAGGAGCCGUUGGAACCCAACAAGGAAGGCAAUUCUUGCCUUCUGUCGGGUGGCAUACCGGACAGUUCGGUGCACCACCAGACAACCAUUGUAGCAUGUCCGGUGCGGAUCUCCUUCCAUUCCUGGCGCAGCCGACCGUUGGAUCUUCGGGCUGGUUGGCGCACCAGACAGUCCGGUGCCCCCAGCCGACCGUUGGCUGGGGCCACGCGUCACGCGUGGAUUGCGCGGCCGACCGUUGCGCUGGCAGCCGUUGGCUCACCGGACAGUCCGGUGCACCACCGGACAGUCCAGUGAAUUAUAGUCGUACGCCGCUGAAGAUUUCCCAAGAGUGGCCAGUUCGCCGGAGCUGUCCUGGCGCACCGGACACUGUCCGGUGCACCACCGGACAGUCCGGUGCACCCAGACUGAGCAGCAGUUGGCUAUACACAGCCAACUCUUUUCCAAUCCUUUUCUUUUCCUGAUUCUAGCACUUAGACAAAUAUAUUAGUACAUAAAAACCAAUGUACUAAGUCUAGAACCAUACCUUCUUGUCGAUUUGCACUUCAUCCAUCAUUUGGCAUAUAAUUACUCACUCAAUAUGUGUUGGGCACUUAAUCACCAAAAUAUACUAGAAAUGGCCCAAGGGCACAUUUGCCUUUCAAUCUCCCCCUUUUUGGUGAUUUAUGCCAACAUAUCAAAAAGCAACAACUAGAAGUGCAACAUCAAUGUACUUGAGAACAAAAAUUGUUUUUGAUUCAAAUUUGGCAUAUUUGGAUCAUUCUUUGCCACACUUGGUUUGUUUUUGAAAUCAUUCUCAUUUUCCUAUCUCUUAGUUAAACACACUUGUUUUAGGCAUAAAGAGAGAUAUUCCAAGAGAAAAUUGAUCAAGAGCCAAAAACUCCCCCUUUUCCCAUAAUCAAAUAUUCUCCCCACAAGAGACAAAAUUUUGCACAUUAAGAGUAUUGUGACAAAUCAAAAGUUCUAACUCUACUUAUUUUCAAAAGUUCUCAAGUGGUAGCUGAUCCAUUUGCUUUGGCCUUAAUAUCUCCCCCUUUGGCAUUAAGCACCAAAAUGGGAUCAAUCUUGGCCCUUUAACCCCAUUGCCUCACCAAAAUUGUCAACUAAGAGCAAAAAGGCAAUAUGAGUAUGGAGAUGAACUUAGAGUAAAUUACCCUCUCAUCGGAGUGCAGUGGAAGUCUUGCAUGGUCCAAGUUCACGUUUCCCUUUCAAUCCACCUUUGAGACUAAAUUAAGUAAACUCAAGCACAUGGUUAGUCUCAAAGGGUCAAGUUGUAGCACAUCUCCCCCUAAAUAUGUGCAUCACUCACACAUGGACUUUUGAGGUCUGGGGAUUGCUUGCGCAACUUUAGCACCAUAAAUAAACAACAAAAUGCAUAAAGGAACCUGAUCAAAGACAUAACACACAUGUAUGCUAUAGAUCAAUCCAAGUUAUGCGAAUCUAAGACAUUUAGCUCAUUACGCAACCUGCAAAAGGUCUUCUCAUCUAAAGGCUUGGUAAAGAUAUCGGCUAGCUGGUUCUCGGUGCUAACAUAAAACACUUCGAUAUCUCCCUUUUGCUGGUGGUCUCUCAAAAAGUAAUGCCGGAUGUCUAUGUGCUUUGUGCAGCUGUGUUCAACAGGAUUGUCCGCCAUGCGGAUUGCACUCUCAUUAUCACAUAGGAGUGGGACUUCGCUUAGAUUGUAGCCAAAGUCCCGGAGGGUUUGCCUCAUCCGAAGUAGUUGCGCGCAACACUGUCCUGCGGCAACGUACUCGGCCUCAGCGGUGGAUAGGGCAACGAAAGUUUGUUUCUUAGAACUCCAAGACACCAGGGACCUUCCUAGGAAUUGGCACGUCCCUGAUGUACUCUUCCUUUCAACCUUGCAUCCAGCAUAAUCGGAGUCUGAGUAUCCAAUCAAGUCAAAGGUUGACACCUUUGGAUACCAGAUCCCGAAGCAAGGCGUAGCAACUAAAUAUCUAAGAAUUCGCUUAACGGCCACUAGGUGGCACUCCCUUGGAUCGGAUUGAAAUCUAGCACACAUGAAUACGCUAAGCAUGAUAUCCGGUCUACUAGCACAUAAGUAAAGCAAGGAACCAAUUAAGACCGGUAUGCCUUUUGAUCAACGGACUUACCUCCUUUGUUGAGGUCGACGUGUCCGUCAGUUCCCAUUGGUGUCUUUGUGGGCUUGGCGUCCUUCAUCCCAAACCGCUUGAUCAAGUCUUGCAUGUACUUCAUUUAGGAGAUGAAGGUGCCGUCCUUGAGUUGCUUCACUUGGAACCCAAGGAAGUAGUUUAACUCGCCCAUCAUCGACAUCUCGAUUUUCUGUGUCAUCACCCUGCUAAACUCUUCACAAGACUUUUGGUUAGUAGAACCAAAUAUUAUGUCAUCGACAUAAAUUUGACACACAAAUAAGUCACCAUCACAAGUCUUAGUGAAUAGAGUUGGAUCGGCUUUCCCAACCUUGAAAGCAUUAGCAAUUAGAAAAUCUCUAAGGCAUUCAUACCAUGCUCUUGGGGCUUGCUUAAGUCCAUAGAGCGCCUUAGAGAGCUUACACACGUGGUCGGGGUACCGUUCAUCCUCAAAGUUAGGGGGUUGCUCUACGUACACCUCCUCCUUGAUUGGCCUAUUGAGGAAAGCGCUCUUCACAUCCAUUUGGAACAACCUGAAGGAAUGGUGAGCGGCAUAGGCUAACAAAAUGCGAAUAGACUCUAACCUAGCCAUAGGAGCAAAAGUCUCCUCAAAGUCCAAACCUGUGACUUGGGCAUAACCUUUUGCCACAAGUCGAGCCUUGUUCCUUGUCACCACCCCGUGCUCGUCCUGUUUGUUGUGGAACACCCACUUGGUUCCCACAACGUUUUGUUUGGGACGUGGCACCAGGGUCCAAACUUCAUUUCGCUUGAAGUUGUUGAGCUCUUCCUGCAUGGCCAACACCCAGUCUGGAUCUAGCAAGGUAUCUUCUACCCUGAAAGGCUCAAUAGAAGAGACAAACGAGUAAUGCUCACAAAAAUUAGCUAAUCUAGAGCGAGUAGUUACUCCUUUGCUUAUAUCACCCAAAAUCUGGUCGACGGGAUGAUUCCUUUGAAUCGUCUCUCGGACUUGAGUUGGAGGGGCCUGUGGUGCUUCUUCCUCCAUAACUUGAUCAUCUUGUGCUCCCCCUUGAUCACACGCCUCUUCCUGAUGAACCUGUUCAUCAUCUUGAGUUGGGGGGUGCACCAUUGUUGAGGAAGAAGGUUGAUCUUGCUCUUUUUGUUCCUGUGGUUGCACAUCUCCAAUAGCCAUGGUGCAAAUUGCGUCCGUUGGAACAUCAUCUUCAUCUACAUCAUCAAGAUCAACUUGCUCUCUUGGAGAGCCAUUAGUUUCAUCAAAUACAACGUCGCUAGAGACUUCAACCAAACCCGAUGAUUUGUUGAAGACUCUAUACGCCUUUGUAUUUGAGUCAUAACCUAACAAAAACCCUUCUACAGCUUUGGGAGCAAAUUUGGAAUUCCUACCUUUCUUCACUAGAAUGUAACAUUUACUCCCAAAUACACGAAAAUAUGAAACAUUGGGUUUGUUACCGGUUAGAAGUUUGUACGACGUCUUCUUGAGGAGGUGAUGGAGGUAGACCCGGUUUAUGGCGUGGCAAGCUGUGUUCACAGCUUCUGACCAAAACCGUUCGGGCGUCUUGAAUUCACCAAGCAUCGUCCUCGCCAUGUCUAUAAGUGUCCUGUUCUUCCUCUCUACCACACCGUUUUGCUGUGGUGUGUAGGGAGCGGAGAACUCGUGCUUGAUUCCUUCCUCCUCAAGGUACUCCUCCACUUGAAGAUUCUUGAACUCGGACCCGUUGUCGCUCCUUAUCUUUUUCACCUUGAGCUCAAAUUCGUUUUGAGCUCUCCUUAGGAAGCGCUUUAGGGUCCCUUGGGUUUCUGUUUUAUCCUGCAAAAAGAAUACCCAAGUGAAGCGGGAAAAAUCAUCAACAAUAACAAGACCAUACUUACUUCCCCCGAUGCUGAGGUAGGCGACGGGUCCGAAGAGGUCCAUGUGAAGUAGCUCCAAAGGUCUUGAUGUGGUCAUCACAUUCUUGCUAUGAUGAGAACUUUCCACCUGUUUACCUGCUUGACAAGCUGUACAAGGUCUAUCUUUUUCGAAAGUUACAUUGGUUAGACCUAACACAUGUUCUCCCUUUAGAAGUUUAUGAAGGUUCUUCAUCCCAACAUGUGCUAGACAGCGAUGCCACAGCCAGCCCAUGCUAGUCUUAGCGAUUAAGCAUGCAUCUAGAACAGUCUCCUUCGAAAAAUCAACUAAGUAGAGGUUGUCGUCUAUUACACCCUUAAAAGCUAAUGAAUCAUCACUCCUUCUAAAGAUAGACACAUCUCCAUUGGUAAAUAAGCAAUUGUAACCCAUAUUACAUAGUUGACUAACGGACAACAAGUUAUACCCGAGCGAUUCAACUAAGAACACAUUAGAUAUGGAAUGCUCGGAUGAAAUAGCUAUUUUUCCUAGUCCUUUAACCUUGCCUUGAUUCCCGUCUCCAAAGAUGAUCGAAUCUUGGGAAUCUUUGUUCUUGACGUAGGAGGUGAACAUCUUCUUCUCCCCCGUUAUGUGGUUUGUGCAUCCGCUGUCGAUAAUCCAGCUUGAGCCCCCGGAUGCAUAAACCUGCAAGGCAAAUUAGGCUUGGGCUUUAGGUACCCAACUCUUGUUGGGUCCUACAAGGUUAGUAACAAUAGCCUUAGGGACCCAAAUGCAAGUCUUGUCUCCCUUGCAUUUGGCCCCCAAUUUCCUAGCAACCACUUUCUUAUUUUUACAUGAGAGUACAAAAUCAGUGUUGCACGCAUGAAAAAUAGUAGCAGAUUCAUUAGGCAUUUUCUUAGGCACAUGAUGAAUAACAUUUCCCUUCCUAGGCCUACUUCUACCAUGCACAAAAGUAGAACUUGAAGCAAUCAUAGCAUGUGAACCAUAAGCAUUAUAACUCCUAUUAUAAUGAGCAUUCCUAGAAAAUUUUCUAUCAUAAAUAAAUGCAUGAUUCUUUUGACUACUACUAGCCAUAGGAGCCUUCCCUUUCUCCUUAUUGAGAAUGGGAGCCCUUUGACUUGUUAAGUUCUUGGCUUCCCUUCGAAAGCCAAGCCCAUCCUUAAUUGAGGGAUGUCUACCAAUGGUGUAGGCAUCCCUAGCAAUUUUUAAUUUGUCAAAGUCAUCUUUGCAAGUCUUAAGUUGGACAUUAAGACUUGCCACUUCAUCAUUUAAUUUUGCAAUAGAAGUAAGGUGCUCAACACAUGCAUCAAUAUUGAAAUCCUUACACCUAUUACAAAUCACAACGUGCUCUACACAAGGACUAGAUUUAUUAACUACUUCUAGCUUAGCAUUUAAAUCAUCAUUCAAAAUCUUCAAGCUAGAAAUAGAUUCAUUGCAAAUGGAUAACUCAGAAGAUAGUAAUUCAUUCCUUUUAAUCUCUAAGGAAGGAGAUUUUUGAACAUUAACAAAUUUGUCAUGUUCCUCAUACAAAAUGUCCUCUUGCCUCUCUAGCAGUCUAUCUUUUUCAUUCAUUGCAUCAAUCAACUCAUUAAUCUUUUCUACUUUAGCUCUAUCUAAUCCUUUGAACAAGCUAGUGUAAUCUACUUUAUCAUCACUAGAGUCCUCAUCACUAGAAGUAGAGUACUUAGGAGUUUCUCGAUCAUUUACCUUCUUCUCCUUUGCCAUUAGGCAAGUAUGGCGCUCGUUGGGGAAGAGCGACGAUUUGUUGAAGGCCGAGGCGGCGAGUCCUUCGUUGUCGGAGUCGGACGAAGAACAAUCCGAGUCCCACUCUUUGCCAAGGUGCGCCUCGCCCUUCGCCUUCUUGUAGGCCUUCUUUUUCUCCCUCUUCCCAUGUCUUUCGUCUCCCUAGUCAUUUUCAUUAUCGGGACAUUGAGCAAUAAAAUGACAUGUCUUACCGCACUUGAAGCAGGAACGCUUUCCUUUUGCCUUGUUCUUGUUUGAGUACUCCUUGUGUCCCUUUAAUGUGGUCUUGAAGCGCUUGAUAAUGAGGGCCAUUUCAUCCUCGUUUAGCCCGGCCGCUUCAACUUGCGCCACCUUGCUAGGUAGCGCCUCCCGGUUGCUUGUUGCUUUGAGAGCAACGGUUUGAGGCUCGUAGAUGGGCAUUGGGCCAUUCAAUGCCUCAUCAACGUAUCUUGCUUCCUUGAUCAUCAUACGCCCGCUUACAAACUUUCCGAGUAUUUCCUUGGGCGUCAUCUUUGUGUACCUAGGAUUUUCAUGAAUCGAGUUCACAAGAUGAGGAUCAAGGACGGUGAAGGACCUGAGCAUAAGUCAGACGACGUCGUGGUCCGUCCAUCUUGUGCUUCCAUAGCUCCUGAUUUUGUUGACCAGAGUCUUGAGCCUGUUGUACGUUUGUGUUGGCUCCUCUCCCCCGAUCAUUGCGAACCUUCCCAGUUCUCCUUCCACCAACUCCAUCUUGGUGAUUAUGGUGGCAUCGUUCCCCUCAUGAGAAAUCUUGAGGGUAUCCCAAAUUUGCUUGGCGUUAUCCAAGCCGCUCACCUUGUGGUACUCGUCCCUGCACAAGGAUGCUAGCAAAACAGUGGUAGCUUGUGCAUUUUUAUGGAUUUGCUCAUUAAUGAAAAUGGGGUUGUCAGUACUAUCAAAAAGCAUCCCAUUUUCAACAAUCUCCCAAAUACUUGGAUGGAGAGAGAAUAGGUGACUACGCAUUUUGUGACUCCAAAAUGAGUAGUCUUCUCCAUCAAAGUGCGGAGGUUUCCCAAGUGGAAUUGAAAGUAAAUGAGCAUUGGAGUUAACCGGAAUACGAGAAUAAUCAAAUGAAAAGUUUGAGUUAACCGGUUUCUUUUUCUCGUCGCCGUCGUCUCUUGGGGAAGAAGAAGACUCAUCGCUGUCGUAGUAGACGAUCUUCUUAAUGCGCCUCUUCUUCUUCCCGUCUCUUUUCUUAUGACUUGAGCCAGAGUCCGAGGGCUUAUCAUCUCUUGGCUCGUUGACGAUGGACUCCUUUGUCUUGUCGUUGACCACCAUCCCCUUUCCCUUAGGAUCCAUCUCUUCGGGCGAUUAGUCCCUUACGUGAAGAGAACGACUCUGAUACCAAUUGAGAGCACCUAGAGGGGGGUGAAUAGGUGAUCCUGUAAAAACCUAAACUUAUAGCCACAAAACUUGGUUAAGUGUUAGCACAAUAGAAUUAAGUGGCUAAGGACCGAGCUCUUGUGAAACACAAUGGUCACAAAGAAAACAAGCACAAGAGUCACGAUGAUUUAUCCCAUAGUUCAGCCAAGUAUAACGCUUGCCUACUCCACGUUGUGACGUCCCAAUGGACGAGGGUUGCACUCAACCCCUUUCAAGUGAUCCAAUGAUCCACUUGAAUACCACAGUUGUUUUCUUUCUUAUAUUCUUUCCCGUUUGCGAGGAAUCUCCACAACUUGGAGUCUCUCGCCCUUACAACAAAGAUCAAAGUGAAAGCACUAGAGUAAGGGAGGGAAGCAACACACACAAAUCCGCAGCAAUACGCACACACAACAAAGACUUGAGCUCGAAUGAAUCACAACAAGUUCACCACUAGAACGGAGCUCAAAUCACUAAGAAAGUCAAUCAAGUGCGCGGAGACGGAGUGUGGAAGAUUUAAAUUGCUCAAAGUAUGCUUAGGUGACUCCUCCAUGCGCCUAGGGGUCCCUUUUAUAGCCCCAAGGCAGCUAGGAGCCAUUGGAACCCAACAAGGAAGGCAAUUCUUGCCUUCUGUCGGGUGGCGCACCGGACAGUCCGGUGCACCACCGGACAGCCACUGUAGCAUGUCCAGUGCGGAUCUCCUUCCAUUCCUGGCGCAGCCGACCGUUGGAUCUUCGGGCUGGUUGGCGCACCGGACACUGUCCGGUGCACACCGGACAGUCCGGUGCCCCCAGCCGACCGUUGGUUGGGGCCACGCGUCAUGCGCGGAUUGUGCGGCCGACCGUUGGCUAACCGGACAGUCCGGUGCACCACCGGAUAGUCUGGUGAAUUAUAGUCGUACGCCGCUGAAGAUUUCCCGAGAGUGGCCAGUUCGCCGGAGCUGGCCUGCACCACCAGACAGUCCGAUGCACCACCGGACAGUCCGGUGCACCUAGACUGAGCAGCAGUUGGCUGUACACAGCCAACUCUUUUCCAAUCCUUUUCUUUUCCUGAUUCUAGCACUUAGACAAAUAUAUUAGUACAUAAAAACCAAUGUACUAAGUCUAGAACCAUACCUUAUUGUCGAUUUGCACUUCAUCCAUCAUUUGGCAUAUAAUUACUCACUCAAUAUGUGUUGGGCACUUAAUCACCAAAAUAUACUAGAAAUGGCCCAAGGGCACAUUUCCCUUUCAGGGUGCUCCAACGAGGACUAGUGGAGAUUGCCGACUCUUCUAUACCUCGGAAAAAUUGGAGGAGUCUUCUAAACCUUGCUUUACAUUCCGCACUUAAUUCAAGCAUUUUACAUUGUGUAUUUGUUUAGCAAGUAUUUGAAGUAUUGUUCUAGCAUUGUUGUAUUUCUAGUAUUAUUCUCUUAGUGCUAGUUGUUGGGGUGAAGUUGGGCUCUUGCUUAGGUUUUAAUUAGUAUUGAUUUUUAGAAAAGCCCAAUUCACCCCCCUCUUGGGCAUCAUGAUACUUUCAAUUGGUAUCGGAACCUUGUUGCUCUUAGAUUAGCUUAACCACUAGAGUUUCUAUGUCCGGUGGGGAUGGACCUCCUCCCGUUUUUGAUGGUGACGAUUGUUGGGGUGAAGGCGAAGACGCCACCCUUCGCUCGAGGCCUUCGCUGCAGUCGUUGGUCCAACGGAGACAAGACAACGGGCAGGGACACCCUUCGCCCCAUACGACAUCAGACGAAGACCUGCGACGAAGCCAUCCCAGCGUGCGGCCUCGUCCAGCAUGGAGGUCCACGUGUGAUCCGGCCCAUUGUAACGGGCCCUGUGUGGCCGCUGCGUGUUACGGGCCUAAUUUGUAAAGGCACGCCUGUAAUUACAGUCUGUAACCCUGCUUUAUGGGAAUAUUCUGGGGAUAACCUAGGUGUCUGAGGGCACAUGCGUCCUUAACACAGGACGCUGGGCACUCAGAUACCUAUAAAUACCCCCGCACAGUGCCCGUGAGAGGCUAGAUUAACAGAGCUAUUGCCAUCUUGCGCGAGAACCCUGUUAACGUCACUGUUCACCCCCGUUGGAUCCCCUUGCAACAGAGAGCAAGUUCCAACAUUUGGCGCCCACCGUUCGUGCGACGAAAAAACCACCCGCGAUGGCACCCAAGAAAGUUAACUCGAAGGCUGACGAGGCUGCGAAGGCAGCACUGCUGGCCACAAAAAAGGCAAGGCCCUCGCCCUCACCCACUCCACUCACCACGAGGCUACUGAAGACGAUGUUCUUUGCACCUGCGAAGACGAUGCUCUCCGCACCUGCGGCCCUGAAGGACAAUCGCAACCCCCCAAGGCUUCGCCCCACCGGAGGGCGCGGACCUCACCGAGGACGGCGAGGUCCUCGGCGUCUCGGCGGAAGAACAGCUACAGCUGCGUGCCCUACGCCUCAAGAACCGCAAUCUCCAGAGGCAGAAAGAGAUACUGGAGGCCAAGCGCCAGCGCGUGUCCGCACUAGCCAAGGUGCGGCAAAUGAUACGCGAUGAAGAGCAGAAGGCCCAAGACCUCGAGCGGGAGAUCGCGCUGAUGCAGCGCGAAGGCCACCUCGGCCUGCAGCACGGGCCACCCCUGCAACAGCGCGCACAACUGGAAGACACGCGCGAAGGCCACCUCGGCUUGCAGCAUGGGCCACCCCUGCAACAGCCCACACAACCGGAAGACCCGCGUUUCCCCCAGCGCGACCACACCUUCCCGCACGCCGCGCCAUUCCAAGGAGUCAACUACCUCGACGAGCAAAGUCCCCUGGCGCCACAUCUGCAAGUGAUGCCUUGGCCCGCCAACUUCCGGACAGGGACCUAUCCCAAGUACAACGGCAGCACUAACCCGGCACAAUACAUAAUGAGUUAUCAGGUCACCGUUGCAUCUUCCGGAGGGGACGACGCCACAAUGGCCAAGUCUUUCAUCAUCGCCCUCGAAGGCCCAGCUCUCACCUGGUUCACCAGGUUGCCUCCGCUGUCCAUUGAUUCCUGGAGAAGCCUCCGGGACAAGUUCCUGCUCAACUUCCAAGGGUACCGCCCAGACACCGACGCCUUGGCCGAACUCUCGCUCUGCAAGCAGCUGGAAAAGGAGACUCUGCGGGAGUAUUACCGCAAAUUUCUAACACUCAAGUCACAGCUGCCCUCAGUCGAUGACCAGAUCGCCAUCCACUACGCCAUCAGUGGCCUUCGCGCCGGCGUCCUCUAUAGCCACUGCAUCAGAGAUCCGCCCAAGAACCUCCAGGAAUUAUAUCAGCUGUUUGAAAAAUACGCCAAAUCCGAAGAGCUCCACCAGCGCAAGGUUGAGUCUCAAAGGAAGCCCAAAGAUGCUCCACAGUCCAGCCGUACGUGGACGAGGACUCCGCAGCAAGACUCCGGUCGAGACGACCGCAAUCAACAGCAAGUGCACAACAUCACCAACCAGCACCCCGCUGCUGACGCCCCUCGCCGCCAGGAAUAUCCCCCUAGGGCCACGGAAAUGGAACUCGCGGUAGGGGUCGGGGGCGUGCGCAGCCGCCGCGCCGAUUCUACUGCCUCUUCCAUGGCGAAGACUGCGCCCACCAAACCAAAGACUGCCUAGAAACGAAGGCCACCAAAGACAGGAUGGCACAGACGCAGCCAGCCGACAACCCCAGAGUUGUCGCGCACACUUACCAGCAACCUCCUCCACCAUAUAUCCACGCCCCCGCCCCGCAUCCACCGCACCACGCUUACCAACACCAUCAGGAAGUAUAAAUCGUACCUCCCCCACCCCCACCACCACACCAGCAACACCAAAACAUCGCCCACGCCCCAAAGCAGGAAGACUUCGCCGAUCAGCCGUAUCGCGGAGUCAUUCACAUGAUCACUGGGGGUCCAGCAUCGACUUCGACACAAAGCGGCAGAAGCAGGACCACUACCGCAGCAUCAACCACAUCGCCAUCACUGGCCCAGUCGUGCAGACGAAGUGGUCCCACGUACCGCUAACCUUCGACGCACGAGACGUCGACCUGCACAGCGCCCCCCACAGCGACGCCAUGGUUAUCAACUGCACCGUGGCAGGCUGGGACCUGCACAAAGUCCUAGUCGACAAUGGCAGUCAGGCGGACAUCAUUUUCCUCCACGCCUUCGACCGCAUGGGCAUAAGCCACAGCCUGCUCAAGCCUUCGGACAACCCGUUGUAUGGCUUCGGCGGCAAGGGCACCUUUCCUGUCGGCAAAAUAGAGCUGCCUCUCUCCUUCGGUGUAGUACCCAAUGCCCGAAGUGAGCAAGUGACCUUCGAUAUUGUGGAUAUGGUAUAUCCGUACAACGCCAUCAUGGGCCGGGGCUCCAUCAAUAAGUUUGAAGCAGCCAUUCACGGACUGUACCUAUGCAUGAAGAUACCAAGUCCGUUAGGCGUCAUUACGGUCUACGACAAUCAACAGACUACGCGCAACAUAGAGCGGGACUUCAUCCCCGGACAAAGAAACGUGCACUGCCUCACGGCCCAGCGCGAGGUCCCUGCGUCCGCCAGCCCAACCGACAAAGAGCACGACAAAGCACAGCUGCAGAGCAACGACGAGACCAAGACUGUCCCCCUCGACCAGGCCACGCCCAAGCAGACAGUCACUAUCAGCGAAGACCUCACUUCGCAUGAAGAGGAGAAGCUCCUCUGCUGCCUGUCUAAGAACAAAGAUGUCUUCGCCUGGUCAGCCCUCGACCUGGUCGGGGUCAGCCGAUCCAUAAUUGAGCAUAGCUUGGGAAUCGACCCUUCGGUGAGACCGAAAAAACAGCGGCUUCGCAAAAUGUCCAACGAGAAGACAGAGGCCGCCAAGGCAGAGGUGCACCGCCUCCUGGAAGCCAAAUUCAUCGAGCCGGUGGCUUACCCCACGUGGCUCUCCAACGUUGUGAUGGUGCAGAAAAAGAGCGGGAAGUGGCGAAUGUGCAUCGACUUCACCAGUCUCAAUAAGGCCUGCCCAAAGGACAACUUCCCGUUGCCGCGGAUCGACAAAAUAGUCGAUAGCGCGGCCAGAUGCGAAGUCAUGUCACUCCUCGACUGCUUCUCCGGUUACCACCAGAUAUACAUGAAGGAGGAAGACAAGGCUAGCACCAGCUUUAUAACACCCUUCAACACAUAUUGCUUAAUCAGAAUGCCGGAGGGACUCAAGAACGCCGGGUCCACCUUCUCCAGGCUUACCAAAACAGUGCUCGAAGGGCAAGUUGGCAAAAAUAUAUUCACAUAUGUGGACGACAUCGUCGUCGCUAGCAAGAGCAAGGAGGACCAUCUCGCUGACCUCGCCGAGACAUUCGCGAACAUGCGAGACGCACGACUCCGCCUAAACCCGGAAAAGUGCGUCUUCGGCGUUCGCCAAGGCAAAAUAUUGGGCUACCUGGUAUCACACCGCGGCAUCGAGGCCAACCCAACCAAAAUUCAGGCCAUCAUAAACAUGACGCCUCCGCAGUCCGCCAAAGACGUCCAGCGCCUGACGGGCAGAUUGGCCGCCCUCAACAGAUUCAUCUCUAGAUCCGCUGAACGAAGUCUCCCUUUCCUCAAAACUCUCCGUGGCGCAAAAGACUUCGCUUGGGGACCAGAGCAGGCAGCGGCCUUCGCCUCAUUAAAACAGUACCUGUCGGAGUUGGCAGUCCUCACAAGCCCCGACUCUUCGCUACCUCUGUUGCUCUAUGUUGCGGCUUCGCCGCAUGCGGUCAGCGCGGCACUGGUGCAGGAGCAGACAGUUGAGGGCAUGAUCAGGCAGUGCCCAGUUUAUUACGUCUCCGAAGUGCUGACACCGUCCAAAUGUAACAUGACAGAACUGGAGAAGAUUGCCUACACAGUUGUUAUGUCUUCGCGCAAAUUGCGCCAUUAUUUUGAAGCAUUCAAGGUCCGAGUCACCUCAGACAGGGGACUCGGUGAAUUAUUCAGAAACCCGGAAGCAUCGGUGAGGAUUGCCAAGUGGGCGGCCGAACUCUCCGGCAACCACAUCAAUUUCGAGCCCAGGACAGCCAUCAAGUCACAAGUCCUGGCAGACUUCGUCGUCGACUGGACUGGGCCAAUAACACAGCCGGACCCGUCCGCAGAGAAGGUUUGGACGAUCCAUUGCGACGGCGCAUGGUGCCAUGCGGGGGCAGGCGCCGCCGCAGUCAUCACCUCGCCCGCCGGGGUCAAGCACAGAUAUACAGCGCGCCUCAGCUUCGCUCUGGAAUCUGACAGAUGCACAAAUAACAUAGCAGAAUACGAAGCAGUCAUCCUCGGCCUCCGCAAGCUGAGGGCCCUUGGGGUCACCACCUGCAUCAUCAGAACAGACUCCAAGGUAGUUGCCGGCCAAGUCGAGAAAGACUACGCAGCAAAGGACCCCGCACUUAUGCAAUACCUCGCGGCCAUCCGAAGUCUCGAGAGACAAUUCAAGGGAUUCACCUUGCAGCAUGUGGACCGGGCAAAGAAUGAAGAGGCCGACGCACUGGCCAAGGCGGCUGCCAGAGGCCAGUCUCUGCCCUCCGACGUGUUCUACCAUGUCAUCGGCACGCCAGCCGUUCGGAGCCCCGAAGGGCUCCAAAUAACCAAUGACAGCGAGCGCCCCCGCAUAGUCAACCUUAUUAUGACCGAAGAUUGGCGGGCACCAAUAACCCUGUUCCUACAAGGGUACUACCACCGAACUGACAUCAACAAGGCCAAGCGCCUCAAACAUCGAAGCCAGGACUUCGCGCUGAUUGAGGGCCAACUCUACAAGAAAGGGGUCAGUCAGCCAAUGCUUAAAUGUGUCACCGAGACCGAAGGCGUCCAAAUCUUGCGCGAGGUCCACAGUGGUACUUGCGGCUCUCACGCAGGGCCAAGGGCCCUAGCCGCAAAAGUGAUCCGCCAAGGCUUCUAUUGGCCCGCAAUGAUCUGCGCUGCAAAUCGGGUUGCAAGGUCCUGCGAAGCCUGCCAGAAAUUUUCUCCUCGAUCAGGCAGCCCCUCGCAAUUCACAAAACUGAUCGCCCACACAUGGCCUCUCCAGCGCUGGGGCCUGGACAUCGUCGGGCCCUUGCCCACGGCUCAGGGGGACCUUAAGUUCGCCUUCGUCGCUGUCGAAUACUUCACCAAAUGGAUCGAAGCGAGGGCCAUUUCCACAAUAACAUCAAAGACUGCACAAAAAUUCUUUUGGCAAAACAUUGUUUGCCGCUUUGGAGUACCGUCCGAACUAACAGUCGACAACGGUAAGCAGUUUGACAGCCAAGACUUCAAGGACUUCUGCUUCUCCAUUGGCACCAAGCUUGCCUUCGCCUCAGUAUAUCACCCGCAAUCCAACGGAGUUGUGGAACGAGCCAAUGGAAAAAAAUUUCACAGCUGUCAAAAAGAUGCUCCUCGAUGAAAAAAGGGCAAGUGGGUCGAUUUGCUACCUGAGGCGGUCUGGGCGCUAAACACGACUGAGUGCAGGGCGACCGGGUUCACCCCUUUCCGCCUUCUAUAUGGAUCGGAGGCCAUGACCCCACAAGAAAUAAAACAUGGCUCCCCGCGAACAAUUCCGUCAGCCGUCCCCGACGUGGACGAGCCCACUUCGAAGGAUCUCAUCGAUGGAGACCGAGUCUUCGCUCUACAGGCCCUGAACAAAUACCAAGCCCAGACAAAAGCAUGGCGCGACCACGCAGUCAUCCCGAGAGAAUUCAGCGAAGGGGACCUCGUACUCGUCCAAACAGCUCGUACAGAGUCUAGGGGCAAGCUGGAGCCCAACUGGGAGGGCCCUUUCAUUGUCAAGACGAAGGCUUCCCCCAGCGCUUACAGGCUCACAACACCAAACGGCAAAGACCUGGAGCACUCCUAGAACAUCGACAAUCUCCGCAAAUUUUUUGUUUGACUCAUCAGGGCCGGUUCGCCCUUGUAAUUCGCAAAAACAAUUUUAUUCUGGCCCGCACUCUUUUCCUCCCGGGGGGUGAGGUUUUUAACGAGGCGGAGCCAUGUAAUAUACAAGUGAAAAAUCCCCCGCAAAAACAUGCGUCGAAAAAAGACCGCGACGACGGUCUUCGACAUUCGACCAAUACAAAGUCACCGCGAGGCUCAGCGCUGGCCACCCUCGCGUGCGACAACUCCGUGCAGAAGUCGCCUAAGGGUGCAGCCGGACUUGCACAAUAAGUGCGAAAAACUGAAGACUACCGCGAAGACUAUCCGUGCAGAAGUCGCCUAAGGGUGCAGCCGGACUAGCACAAUAAGUGCGAAAAACCGAAGUCUACCGCGAAGACUAUCCGUGCAGAAGUCGCCUAAGGGUGCAGCCGGACUAGCACAAUAAGUGCGAAAAAUCAAAGUCUACCGCGAAGACUUACCGUGCAGAAGUCGCCUAAGGGUGCAGCCGGACUAGCACAACAAGUGCGAAAAAUCGAAGUCUACCGCGAAGACUAUCCGUGCAGAAGUCGCCUAAGGGUGCAGCCGGACUAGCACAACAAGUGCGAAACACCAAAGUCUACCGCGGAGACUAUCCGUGCAGAAGUCGCCUACGGGUGCAACCGGGCUAGCGCAAUAAGUGCGAAAAAUCGAAGUCCUCCGUAACAAAAACCACACAAUUACACCUGACCACGUACGUAACGCCUUCGUGAGCAUAGCCGAAUGUGCGAGGGCACACAACUUCAUCAUACAAGCCAUUACACAUGUACAAGCGAGGGCAUCACACUCUACAUCAGCUCAACCUUCAGAAUAAUUCCCAUCUCCCUAUAGUUAAAUAACAUUAUCCUAAGCUCCUCACCCGCAAAAAGACUUCGCAAUUCCCCCUCACCUGUACUCACAGCGGCCAGCAAGGACAACAGUUCCUGCCGGCCAGCCCUACUCACACGAAGCCGAUCGCCGUCCGCCCCACUCACUCUACGCUUUGCAACCGCCCUUCGCCGCCUACGCCCAGUACUCGGACCAGGCACAUCUUCUGCAUCCGCAGCGUGCGAUGAAGCCUCCGCCGCUGCCACAUCCAAGGCCGCGAAGUAGUCCAAGUCCUCAUCCGACGACUCCUCAGUCCACUCAACCGAGCUCCCAGAGUCACCAAAAUCAGAAAACUUAAACGCAGACCCAUCCGAUUUAUUACCAUCAUCCACGGUCGAAGCCGCCAAAAAAUUAGUAGUGGCGGUUGCGUGCGCAGGCCCAAAAUCUUGAACCUGCGCAGCAACCAAGAUUCAGCAACAUAUCCAAAAUUCCCUAACUACCCACACCCACUACGCCACCUGCGAAGACCCAGCCGUCGCGGGAGCCUCCGCUUUCGCCUCCGCCGCCACCGUCACAAGAUCCUCAGCCCUCGGCGCAGCAGUUGGCGGCAGGCCUCCGCCGGCCGCAGCUGCUGCGGGGGCAUCAGGAACGCCUUCGGUGGUCUCCGGGGGUGGGCCUCCGCCGGCCGCAGCGGCUGCGGGGGCAUCAGGAACGCCUUCGGCGGUUCCCGGGGGCGGCUCCAGGGCGGCCUUGGACACAGCCUCCGCCGGGUUCGACUCCGGGUCAGGCAGCACGCUGUUCAAAGCCCCAAAGUCAUCCACCCUCUCGCCACGCACCGCCUGAGACACAGAACACAAAUUCAGCAACCCCAUACAUAGCCCACAUCCAACAAACACCAAACAAAAGCCAAACAUUACCUAACCCCUCGCCGUCUCGGCCCGCUCCCUGACCACCUCUCGACCGUGCGGGCCCCACAUCUGGUCGUAGAGGGCUCCGGCGGAUUCCUUCACUAUAGAGUCCUCAACCUUGUAGAUAUCACGCUCGAAAUCCUCAUCAGCUUGGUCGAAGACCUCAUAGUGCCGGCACCCUUCGCGAGAGAGUGCGUUCAUCGCCCCCUCGCAGGUGACCAGGGAGGCAUAAGACAUGAACCCCUCCACGAUGGUGGGGAGCGCCUGCAGCUCCUCCUGUACCCACUCCAGGCAGCGAAGUCCGGGCUCUCGGUCCGGCACUUCGAAGUCAGCGGUCCGCGCGCCCAGCUCAUGGUACGAAUCCAUAAGCUGUUUGCGUGUCCACUCAGCCUCCGUGUGCGUCGCGGCCUCGGCCCUCUCCACGCGGCUCUGCAGGGCGCUGAGCCGCUCCUCCAACUGCUCGGCGCGCUCCCUGGCAAGACUGCCCUCCACCCGCGCCAAAUUGGCCUCCGCCUGCGCAGCCUGUGCCUUGGCGAGGGCCUCAUUGGCCUCCCUCCUCUCCUCCGCCAGUUGGCGCCGGAGGUCAGCCUUCUCCCCCUCCAGCGCGGCCACCUUGUCCGCCAGCUUGCGGCACUUACUGUCGGCGGCCGACUUCUCCCGGACGGCGUCAGCAUGUUGCGUCUGAAGUCUCUCGACUUCGGCAGACACAACUGCCGUGAGGGCCCCCGACGCCGCGCGAUCUGCGAAGUCAGCCGCCUGCAAAACACACAUAAGACCACAGCCCCAAUGAAACCGAAAAAAAACCGAAGUCUAGCUCAACGUACCUGACUUAGCGCCUCCUUCAUCUCCUUCAGCCGGCGGGACACAGCACCCGCCUCAUCCCUCACAGCAGUGAGUGCCGGCAUCUCGCCGCCGGCACUAAGGGCACCGCCCUUCACCUUUGGCACUACGGCAGCCGCCGUGGUCGCCGCGGCAGGCGGAACAACGACAAGUUGGCCUUCGUCCGACCCUGCGACGUAUCAACAAAUUAAAUAAAAAAAUCGAGCCAACGGCUUACCAACAAGAUAGUCGUCCACACUAAUGUCGGUGGCGAAGUCGGCGACGCGCUUGCCCGGCGGCGGCAACCCUCGGGCCGCCUUCGCGGCCUCCGGCACCCUGCUGGACACCGGUGCAGCCUUCGUAGACUUGGAACCACCGGCGGCAGCCGCAGCCUCCGGCGCCCUGCUGGAUGCAGGGACAGCCGCCUUCGCAGCCCCCCGCUGCCUCUUCGGCCUGGCUUCAUGAAGCCUGACGACAACCUGGCGCUUCUGUGCAGCUCCUUGGCGAUCCUUGUCCAUCACUGCCGACACAACAACAGCAAUAUCUCGCCCGUAAGGAAACACUUUCCAUUCACGAACCAUGCGAGAUGUAAAAAAGUCUUCGCCGACCGCGCGGGGGAUAGGAACAUUCCUAGGCCACCAACCCCCGGUAACCCUCAGCAUUCGCGCCGAAGACUCCCGAAGCUCGGGCGAAGACAUCCUUCAUCCCGGGGCCGCGCAUGUCCUCAUCAAUUCUCUAGCAAAACCAUCGGAAACCCCAAGUCCUCCCAUACCAGUACCUAGUUUCCUCUUCUUAGAGGACGGGGCGGCCGCCGGCGCGGGGUCGUCUCCAGACUCUACCACCGGUUUCUUCCCGCGACGAUCCACAUCGUCUUGGCCGGGAUAAUCGCCAUACGACAGUCGAUUCAAUUCAAAAACCCUGUUCAAACGGUCAUUCGACCCGCGGAUAUCCCAGCUACGCUGGCCCUCUGUCCUCGGCACGUACCGACCAACGAUCCGCACCGCCCCAUCCUCCGCCUCACGCACAAAGGCGGCCGGAUCGCGGCUACGCAGAUCCAGCGCGAAUACAGGACUUCACACCAGCUUCCCACCAUGGGAAGGCAUCUGGCGAGGGCACACUUCGCCCAACGCCCAGCCAUGCGCCAAAGGCCAUACCCCGUACGCCACAAAUUCCUCAACCAAAUCGCGCCCACUGCUCAGGCCGGCGGCGCACCGAAGGGCCCCUUCGUCCGCAUCCUCCUCCGCCACUUCAAAAGGCGGGUAUGCUGAGUAAAAAUGCGAGCACAUCUCGGACACGGGGAGCCCCGGAUGGUCUUCGACGGUACCCUCCGCGACGUAGAACCAAAACUCAUGCCAAGUGCCCCACUUGUUGCGGGCGAAGGAACUAACUCAACUACCUCCAUCGUGGUCUUGCCGGUCUUCGGCGUAAAUGUACAGGACCCAAACUGGGCAACUUCAUCUCCAAUCAUCCUCUUCUGCCAGUGCAGGCAAUAGUACUUCGCGAAGACUUCGACUGAUGGCUGUUCGCCGUACGAAGUCGUCGCCCAGACAUACUUCGACAGAGCCACCAUGGCAUUCAGAGUCAGCUGAUGGAUCUGAACGUUAAACCUGCGCAGGACUUCUCCAACAAAUCGGUGCGCAGGCAGGCAGAGACCGGCAGUGAAGAACGCCUCGAACACAACCAACUCGCCUUCCGGCUCGGGGACUUCCUCCGUCCCCGCGACACGAGCGACUCCGCCGCCAAAGUAACCCAGCCGCUGCAUAUCUUGCACGCGGACCGACGACAUCCGCGACACACCGAAAUCCACCGUAUCGCCGGCGCGCAACUCCUCUGCCGCCAAAGUACUCAGCGUUUCCUCAGACGACGCGUCGGCCGGCGGCGUAGCGGCAGCGGAAGAAGAAGAGGUCGGCAUCGCUACGUACCGUCGGCGGCGGCGGGCGGUCUGCUUCACUCGAGCCAGAUCUCCGGCGAACAAGAGCAAGGAGGGCAGACAAGCAGCAAGACGGUGGAAAAGGCGGCUAGGGUUUUACGGAGCGCGGAAAAUGAAGUUCAAAACGCGCCGCCCCCCGCCCCCUUUUAUACACAGGGUGCGGUGCUUCGGGAAACCCGCAGUCCAACAGUACGGUGUCAAUCAACGGUCAUGUCAAAAACCCCCGCGGAACCACUUCGAGCGAGGGCAGCGUCUCCGCCAUCUAGCGACGUCUUCGGCACUAGAUGACUUAGUCGAACUGGUCCCUCGGAGGGCAAAUGUUGGGGCGAAGGCGAAGACGCCACCCUUCGCUCGAGGCCUUCGCUGCAGUCGUUGGUCCAACGGAGACAAGACAACGGGCAGGGACACCCUUUGCCCCAUACGACAUCAGACGAAGACCUGCGACGAGGCCAUCCCACCGUGCGGCCUCGUCCAGCAUGGAGGCCCAUGUGUGAUCCGGCCCAUUGUAACGGGCCCUGCGUGGCCGCUGCGUGUUACGGGCCUAAUUUGUAAAGGCACGCCUUUAAUUACAGUCUGUAACCCUGCUUUAUGGGAAUAUUCUGGGGAUAACCUAGGUGUCUGAGGGCACAUGCGUCCUUAACACAGGACGCUGGGCACUCAGAUACCUAUAAAUACCCCCGCACAGUGCCCGUGAGAGGCUAGAUUAACAGAGCUAUUGCCAUCUCGCGCGAGAACCCUGUUAACGUCACUGUUCACCCCCGUUGGAUCCCCUUGCAACAGAGAGCAAGUUCCAACAACGAUUUUCCAUAUUGGAAAAUUCGUAUGGAAGCAUAUCUAGAGGGUAUAGACAUUGGUGUCUAUUAAGCCACCACACAAGGAUUCCCCGCACCUAGAGAUCCCACAAAUCUUGUAGGUGAUGAGUUUAAUUAUGAGAAAUGGAAUGCUAAGGCCAAAAACACCCUUUUUAGAGGCCUUUGCAAAGAUGUGUUCAAUAGAGUUAGAAAUCAUAAAAAUGCUUGUGAUUUGUGGAUGGACAUUUGUGCUCUACAUGAAGGAACUAGAAGUGAGCAUGAGGAGAGAUAUCACAUUGCUAUGAGAAAGUUAAAUUCUUUUGAAAUGCUUGCUAAUGAAAAUGCCAAUGCUAUGUACUCACGUCUCAAUAUUCUUGUAGAGAAAGUUAAUGGAUUGGGGCUUACUCAAAUCUCACAACCGGAUGUUGUGAGGAAGAUUCUCAGUGUCCUCCCAAUUGACAAAUAUGGACACAUUGUCACUGUGCUGCAUCAAAUGGACCUUUCAGUUACCACACCUACACAGAUAUUGGGAAAGAUCAAUGCUCAUGAGAUGUACAUGCACAUCAGUGACAAGGAUAAGUCAUCUUCCAAAAGAAAGGAUUUGGCUCUCAAAGCAAAUCAAGAAAGAAAAGGAAAAGCUAAAGUACAAAUUGAGGAAGAAUCCUCAAGUGAUGAUGACCUUGAUGCUAACAUUGCUUUGAUGGUGAGGAAGACCACCAAGAUGUUAAAGAAGCUCAACAGAGAAGGCAUCAAAUUUGAUUCAAGAAAGAAGAAAUUCUUUUCCAGCAAAAGAAAGCCCAUUUCUGAGAUGGAUUGCUACAACUAUGGAGAGCUUGGUCAUCUUGCUCAUCAAUGUAAUAAGCCCAAGAAGAACAAGUUCAAGGGCAAGAAAGAAGAUGACAACGAUGAUGAGAAAAAGGAAAAGAGAUUCUUCAAGAGGAAGGAUGAGAAGCAAAAGAGGUUCCACAAAAAGAAAAAUGGAAAGACAUAUAUUGUUGGUGACUAGCUCACUGACAUUGAGUCAUCAAGUGGAUCUUCUUCAAGUGAAGAAGAGAAUGAUGAAAAAGUUGCCGCCAUCGCCGGGGACUUCUCUUCACCACCACCAUCGCCAUCAUCGACUUCUCACCUAUGCCUCAUGGCUAAAGGUGAACGGAAGGUGAACUACAAGACCGGUGGGAGCCAUUGGGUUAUUAACAGUGGAUGCACACAACAUAUGACAGGCAACCCACGGAUGUUCACCUCACUUGAUGAGAAUGUUGAUGGACAAGACAAAAUCACAUUUGGAGACUAUUCAAAAGGGAAAGUGCAAGGACUUGGCAAGGUGGCAAUUUCAAAUGAUUUAUCAAUUUCAAAUGUUCUCUUGGUUGCACCUUUGAGCUUCAAUUUAUUAUCAGUGGGACAACUCUGUGAUCUUGGACUUCAAUGCUUAUUUACUCCAACAGAGGUUAUUGUAUCAAAAAUGGAUGAUGAAUCAAUGGUGUUAAAAGGAUUUAGAUACAACAAUCUCUACUUAGUGGAUUUCACUUCAGAAGAUGUAGACUUAAGAACUUGCAUCUUCACCAAAGCUUCACUUGGAUGGCUUUGGCAUAGGAGGCUUGCACAUGUUGGGAUGAGCACACUCAAGAAGGUAUUAAAGAAGGACAUGGUUAGAGGAUUGAAGGAUGUUGUAUUUGAAAAAGACAAGCCUUGUAGUGCAUGUCAAGCUGGGAAGCAAGUUGCUAACACAUAUCCUACAAAAGCUUUCAUGUCAACAUCAAGGCCACUGGAACUACUUCAUAUGGAUUUAUUUGGACCUACAAAUUAUGUAAGUGCUGGUGGCAACCUCUACUGUCUGGUGAUUGUUGAUGAUUUCUCAAGAUACACUUGGGUGUUCUUUCUCCAUGACAAAUCUAAAGUUGCAUCUAUAUUCAAGAAGUUUGCCAAGAAAGCUCAAAAUGAAUUUGAUUGCAAGAUCAAGAAGAUUAGAAGUGAUAAUGGUAAAGAAUUUGACAACACCAACAUUCAUGAGUACUGCGAUGAAAUUGGGAUCAAGCAUGAAGUUUCUGCAACAUAUACACCUCAACAAAAUGGAGUUGUUGAAAGGAAAAACAGGACCUUGAUCACACUUGCAAGAACAAUGAUUGAUGAGUAUAACACAUCGGAGAGGUUUUGGGCCGAAGCUAUCAACACUGCAUGUUAUGCAUCAAACAGGUUUAUUCCUCACCAGCUACUUGCGAAGACUCCCUAUGAACUGCUAAAUGGGAAAAAGCCAGACGUCUCCUUCUUCCGGGUGUUUGGGUGCAAAUGCUACAUCUACAAGAAACACCAUCACCUAGGAAAGUUUCAAAGACGUUGUGAUAUCGGUUUUCUUUUGGGUUAUUCAUUAAAGUCCAAAGCAUAUCGAGUAUUCAAUCAUGCCACUGGCGUGGUAGAAGAAACAUAUGAUGUGGAAUUUGAUGAGACUAAUGGCUCCCAAGGAGCACUUGAAAAUCUUGAUGAUGUAGGUGAUGAGCCACUUAGGGAAGCAAUGAAGAACAUGCCAAUUGGAGCUAUCAAAUCAAAAGAAGAUGAAGAAGAGGUGCAAAACAUUGACAUGCCUUCUUCAUCAAAUGUACCACAAGAUGAUGAAAAAGAUGAGAGGCAUGCAAAUGAAGAUACAUUUGUCUCUCAUGAACAAGCAAGGGUACAAGCCGAAGAUGUUGAUGCUCCAGGAUCUUCUUCCCAAGUAGUUGACAGGAGAAACUCAUCACUACUUCAAGCUCAUCCUCAAAACCAAAUCAUUGGGAGUCCUUCACAAGGGGUUAUUACUCGAUCACAUAGACAUGCUUCUUUUAUUGAACAUCACUCCUUUGUUUCUUGUGUUGAGCCUACAUGUAUAGAUGAGGCGCUACAGGAUCCGGACUGGGUGAACGACAUGCAUGAAGAACUUAACAACUUCACCCAUAACCAAGUUUGGACCCUGGAGAAGCCCCCACAUGAUGCAAGAAUCAUUGGAACAAAGUGGGUGUUCAAAAACAAACAAGAUGAUCAAGGCAUGAUUGUAAGGAACAAGGCAAUACUUGUUGCAAAGGGAUUCUCUCAAGUUGAAGGCUUAGAUUUUGGAGAGAUCUUUGCACCGGUUGCUCGACUGGAAGCCAUCCAUAUCCUACUUGCAUAUGCAUCAUGCUAUGAUAUAAAACUUUAUCAAAUGGAUGUAAAAAGUGCAUUUUAAAUGGCUUCAUAAAUGAACUUGUAUAUGUUGAGCAACCACCUUGAUUUGAAGACCCUAGAUAUCCUAACCAUGCUUACAGGUUGUCCAAGGCGCUAUAUGGGCUAAAGCAAGCUCCAAGGGCUUGGUAUGAGCGUCUUCGCGACUUCCUCAUCGAAAAGGGCUUCAAGAUCGGGACCGUCGACACAACUCUAUUAACAAAGAAACAUAAUAGUGAUAUUUUCAUUUGUCAAGUAUAUGUUGAUGACAUAAUCUUUGGCUCGACAAAUGACUAUCAUUGCAAGGAAUUUGGUGAGUUGAUGUCGAAGGAGUUCGAGAUGUCAAUGAUUGGUGAGCUGACAUACUUCCUUGGUUUUCAAGUCAAGCAAAUGAAAGAUGGUAACUUUCUCUCACAAGAGAAGUAUACCAAAGACUUGUUGAAAAGGUUCAACAUAGAGAAGUGCAAAUCAAUCAAGACACCUAUGCCAACAAAUGGACAUCUCAACCUAGAUGAGGGAGGUAACCCGGUUAAUCAAACUCUCUACCGUUCUAUGAUUGGUAGUUUAUUGUACCUCACCGCAUCUAGGCCCGAUAUCAUGUUUAGUGUCUGCAUGUGUGCCAGAUUUCAAUCUAAUCCUAAGAAAGCUCAUCUUCGCGCUGUUAAAAGAAUUCUUAGGUAUCUCAGGCACACCCUAAGCGUUGGUCUGUGGUAUCCCAAAGGAGCUACUUUUGACUUAAUUGGUUGUUCCGACUUGGAUUAUGCCGGUUGUAAAGUUGAUAGAAAAAGUACUUCUGGGGGGUGCCAUUUGCUUGGGAGAUCACUAGUAUCAUGGACAUCCAAAAAGCAAAAUAGUGUUCCCUUGUCAACCGCCGAAGCGGAAUACAUUGCCGCAGGUGCUUGUUGCACACAAAUUUUGUAUAUGAAGCAAACUCUUCUAGACUAUGGCGUAGUUCUAGAAAAGGUACCUUUGUUGUGUGACAAUGAGAGUGCUGUUAAAAUUGCUAAUAAUCCUAUACAACACUCUCGCACCAAGCACAUUGAUAUCCGUCAUCACUUCCUUAGAGAUCAUGUUGCUAAAGGAGACAUCCUUUUAGAAGGAGUGAGGUCGGAAGAUCAAUUAGCGGAUAUUUUCACUAAGCCACUUGAUAAGACCCGCUUUUGCAUGUUGAGGAAUGAAUUAAAUAUACUUGAUCUCAGAAACUUUAUUUAAGAUGUCAAAUGGUGUUGUCAAGCUUGCAUUGCAUAUUUAAAUUUCUUGUAUUGCAUCUAGGGCUUGUCUAACCUAGUUGAGAUAACCGCCAACAAAGUGAGUGAAAAAGCUUAACUCGGAUCAAACUUGACAAGUCUUAGUUUUUAGCUUUUAGCACUUAAAUUCUUGCUUUUUAUGCAAUUGUUGGUUCUUGAAAUAUGCAUGAGGUACUGCAAUUAGGGGGAGUAUUCAAAACUCAAAUCACUCAUGAAAACCCCUAGUGCAAGGCCAAAAUGCAAAUUUCACCAUUUGCCUAUUUUCUCUAAAAAUUAUCUAGCCUAUGGCAAAAUAUUUUGAAAAUUAUGAGAAAAUAUAUGAGGGUGCCAAUACCUAUCCCAACAAGUGUUAUUUUGUGUGAUUAUAAGUUGGGAUUUGGUUUGGUUGAAAACUAGAUAGAAAAAUUCAAAAAUUCCAAAUUUUCCCUCUGUCUGGGCUCACCGGACACUGCAUUGUGCACUGUCCGGUGCACCGGCCGUGCGUGCGCAAGAACUCCCUUUCCUGUGCGUUGUCCAGGGGUUCACCCGACGGCUACUGUGCGCUGUUCGGUGUGCACCGGACAGGCACUGUAGACUGUCCAGUGCGCCCAUGUUGCGUUUUAAAAAAAGGCCUCCAGCCCGCGCCCGAGCCAUAGGCCAUUGUCUUUCUUUGUUUUCUAGCUCCUCUCUUCUCUGGCGAUCUGCUCUCCCUCGUCGGUGACCUCCCCUCACCGGCGACAACCGUGCUCCGGCGUCCUCCGGUGCUUGUGCCUGCCCUUCCUCUGGUGAGCAGCCCAAGCUCCUCCUACCUCCCUCUUCUCUCUCUGUUAGUCAGUGCUGUGAACUCCUAUCCCACCUCUUGUGCCAAUUUCAAAUUCUUAUGAAUCCCAGUGAAUCCAAGUGAUGGAAUGUGUUCCUAUGUGCCCUUGAAUAUCCCUGCAGGUUUCUAGCUCCCUUUGGGAGGGUUUCAAUCCUCAAAUGGCCAUAUCUCCAAAAACCUAAUUCACCGCACGCCACGUGUUCGGUGAAAUGUCCAAACCAGACAAAAAUGCUUCGAUUGAACCCAAAUUUUUCAGGCACCUUCACAACACUUCUAGUAACAUAUUCGCCAAAUUUCACGCCAAUCGGAUAUACCAGGCUUCAAUUUCACUCAAUUCUCCGUUUCGAGCGAUCGUUUCCGAGCCGAGUGCCCAAAUUCCAUUUUCUUCGCCUAAAUUCAAACCAAGCACACAUUUCACUCAUAUUUACCCAUAUAAACCUAUUCGUGAAGUAUCAGCUCAAUUCCACAUCAUUUCUUGCCUCAAUUCGAAUUACAAACCUCCUAUGGCACUAUUUCUCGUUCAAACGCCGUUUUCGCGUCGUUUGACCUCUCGAUCUCCAUAUCUCUCAUUUUCUGUGCCAUAAUUCUUUGUGUAUGUAUUUAUUCAAAUUUUAUAUACUUAUGACUAUGUGACUAAUACGUGCUCACCUCUUCUAUCAUUUCAGUGACCUUGCCUGCCCGUGAGCCGUCUCCUGUCCUGCCUGGAUUUUCACCUCUCAUGUGAGCUUUCCAGGUAGAUAUCCUCUCUUUUAAUAUUCUAUCGGCUGUUAUCGACUUGUGCUUAGCUUCUCUCUCUCAUUUGCAGUCAUCAGGUCAGGAUGUCGCGCAUGAAGAAUAUGUCGGCGCCAGGGGGAGGAGAUGACGAGGAUCCUCCUCGCCCCUUCAGGCAGGUCAAGGGAAAGACCGUGUAUUUGGAGCAGCAGGAAGGCCGCGGCGUAUGGACAGAGCAGCCUGAGCAGCGGCAGCAGCAGCAGUCGCUGAGUAGGCAGAGCAAGGAGUUCAGUUGCAGAUUCCUUCUGAUCAAAUUGCCUACCGAGUCUGUCGUCAUGCCUCUCGUCCUCGCUCCUCCGCUCCUACCACUCCCACCACUGCUACCACUCCACCACCUACUUCACCUGCCCCCGUCACUCCUGCGCCAUCCACCACCUCAGCCAUACCCACCACCUCCACUACUCCAGCUUCCACUGCUCCCGCUUCCGCUCCUCCUAUCCCACCUGCUCGCUUCCGGGAGCGUGAUGAGACUGAGGUGCGCCCACUUGCUGCGGAUCCCAGGUUGUUUGAUCUUCAGCGUGCUACAACGACACGGGUACGUCGGUUCAGAUACGUACCUGUGGAGUCUUGGUUACCUGCACAGAGAGACCCAACAACAGCAGAUCCAUUCAGCACCAGGAUUCAGGAGUCUUUCUACAGAGCACAGUUGUCAACUCAGAUUGCUCUGCGAGCGCACCGGCUUUUGGAUCUCCCUGCCUUCCUGCUAGCCGCCGGUGCCGACUCUGAGGUUCACCUCUCCUAUCUGCCUAGACUUCUCACUCUUUUGACUACAGCGACAGAUAUGUUGAGGAAUGGGUCCGAGUUUUCUAUGCUACUGUAUGGAUCGACCCUGAUCACCACUGGAUGAGAUUCCGAUUUGAGCGAGUGGAUGUUACCAUACAUGCCAGUCAGAUUCGUCAGGUGUUUGGAUUCCACGAGUCAUCGGCUCGUCUUCAUAGCAUGUGCUAUGGCACCUCUGACCCUCCUCGUCGCCCUCACAGUGGAGUUGCUCCUGGUACAGUUCACGUCGCGGCUUUGUUCCAACCGCCCAUCUCAGAUGGGUCGUGAUGUUCUCCAUCAGAUUUCACCACAGCGGCCAGAUUUCUAUAUCAGCUCAUGAGACGGACGCUUCUGCCACGGAUGAGCUACAGGGAGGCUGCCACUCAUAUUCAGCUUUAGCUCCUUGGUGCCCUAGUUUCUCACUCAGAGUUUGAUGUUGUGGAUUUUAUCAUUUGUGAGAUCGAGGACAUAGUACUGGAUGGUCUACGUGCUCGUCAACAGCUGCCUUAUGCUCACUAUCUGUGUCACAUCUUUGCUCAGCUGAUUCGGCCCCCCAGUUCUAGGGUACUUUUGAGGCCUCUCGCCUCAUCUUUGGGUCGUACCGUCCAGUUCUAGAGGAUCCUAUGCUAGCAUCUGCUCUAGUGCUUGAUACUUAGACCGAGGACACCACCUUCCAUCAGUUUGAGACUCAGGGCGGAGCAGCCCAUGAUGAUGAUGAUGAUGAUGAUGAUGAUGAUGAUGAUGUCUUUGGGGUUCCACCUCCGCCUCCGCCUCCUAUGCCUCCACGCUCACAUGAUCAUGAGGCUGGGAGUUCUAGUGCUACCCCUGCUGCCCCUCCUGCUAUUGACCCUGCUCUUGCUGCGAUCCUCCAGUCUCUUACUCAGCAGCAGGCUCACUUGGCAGCCGAGCAGGCCCAUCAGGCAGCGACCCCCCAGCAGAUGUCCGAGAGAAUGUUCUCAAUGUUUCAGACGAUUCAGGACAGGCAGGAUACUUUGCAGCAGCAGCUUCUUCAGGACCGGGCUGAGAACAGGGCUUUUAUGACUCUCAUGCUUCAGCAUACUGGUGUAUCGAUUCCCCCAGUUCAGUCAGCACCGCCUCCACCUCUUCAGGCUGCUGUUGUACCAGCUAUUCAGGGAGGACCCCCUCUUCCUUCAGUUGGUCCUUCUUCCUCUCCGCUCCGGCCGGUCACCCUAGUUUUCACGUCACCGGUCAUCAACUUCGUCAGCCCUCAGCCGCCAGUGAGAGCACCUAGAGGGGGGGUGAAUAGGUGAUCUUGUAAAAACUUGAAACUUAAUCCAUAAAGCUUGAUUAGGAGUUAGCACAGUAAAGCCAAGUGGCUAGAGAGGAGUUCUUGCAAAACACAAUAACCACAAGAAGAUCAACACUGAUAGGCAUAGUGGUUUAUCCCGUGGUUCGGCCAAGUCCAACACUUGCCUACUCCACGUUGUGGCGUCCCAACGGACGAGGGUUGCACUCAACCCCUCUCAAGCGGUCCAAAGACCCACUUGAAUAACACGGUGUUUUGCUUUGUUUACUAUAUCCCGCUUGCGAGGAAUCUCCACAACUUGGAGUCUCUCGCCCUUACAAUUUGAUGUUCACAAAGAAGCACGAAAGUAAGGAUGGGAUGAGCAACGCACUCAAGACACAAAAUCAGAGCACAACACGCACACAAGUCACAACUCGAGCUCACAACACAACCCGAAGAGUUCUCUACUCAAAUGGAGCUCUAGUUGCUAUCACAAAGAAUCAAAUGCGCGGAAUUAGAGUCUUGGUGCUUAAGAAUGCUUGGUGUCCUCCUCCAUGCGCCUAGGGGUCCCUUUUAUAGCCCCAAGGCAGCUAGGAGCCGUUGAGAGCAUUCCAGGAAGGCAAAUCUUGCCUCCUGUCGACUGGCGCACCGGACAGUCCGGUGCACCACCGGACACUGUCCGGUGCGAAUUUCCUUCCUAUUAUGGCGCAACCGACCGUUGAAGUCUUGGAGCCGUUGGCGCACCGGACACUGUCCGGUGCACACCGGACAGUCCGGUGCCCCCUUCUGACCGUUGGCUCGGCCACGUGUCUCGCGCAGAUUGCGCGGCCGACCGUUGGCUCGGCCGACCGUUGGCUCACCGGACAGUCCGGUGCACCACCGGACAGUCCGGUUAUUUAUAGCCGUACGCCGUUGAUCGCUUCCCGAGAGCGACGACUUCGCCUGUGAAUGGCUCACCGGACAGUCCGGUGCACCACCGGACAGUCCGAUGAUUUAUAGCCGUACACCGCCGUCGAAGUCCCGAGAGCAGCCAGUUGACAGACGCCAGCCUGGCGCAUGGGACACUGUCCGGUGCACCACCGGACAGUCCGGUGCUCCCAGACUGCGUAGAGUCUUGGCUGCUCAGCCAAGUCUUUUCCAAAUUGGUCUUUUCCUGUUUCUAGCACUUAGACACAAUACAUUAGUCUCCAAAACAAUGUACUAAGUCUUAGAAACAUACCUUUACUCUUGAUUUGCACUUCUUAAGUCUUUGGCACAAAUAUUACUCAAAGCAUUUGUGUGGAGCACUUAAUCACCAAAAUCUUAUAGAAAUGUCCCAAGGGUACAUUUCCCUUUCAAUCUCCCCCUUUUUGGUGAUUAAUGCCAACACAACAAAAAGCAACUAAAAGAAGUGCAACAUCAAUGCAAAUAAGAACACAGAUUUGUUUUGAAUCAAAUUUGGCAUAUUUGGAUCAUUCUUUACCACCACUUGGUUUUGUUUUUGCAAAUCAACCUCAAUUUCCUAUCUCUAAGUCAAACACACUUGUUGAGACAUAAAGAGAGUUGUUCCAAGAGAAGUUGAUCAGAGAUUUCAAAAACUCCCCCUUUUUCCCAUAAUCAACCAUUCUCCCCACAAGAGGCCAACUUUUGACAAAAGAGACAAUAAGAGAUUUUCCCAUAAUCAACCAUUCUCCCCACAAGAGGCCAACUUUUGACAAAAGAGACAAUAAGAGAUUUUUGACAAAUCAAAAGCUCUAUUCUACUAUUUUCAAAAUUCUCAAGUGGUAGCUGAUCCAUUUAUUGCUUUGGCCUUAUUUUCUCCCCCUUUGGCAUCAAGCACCAAAACGGGAUCAAUCUUGGCCCUAUAACCCCAUUGUCUCACCAAAAUCUUCAAUUAAGAAUAAAAAGGCAAUAAGAGCAUGGAGAUGAACUUGGAAUAAGUUACCCUCUCAUCGAAGUGCAGUGGAAGUCUUGCAUGGUCCAAGUCCACCUUUUCCCUUUCAAACCACCUUUGAGACUAAAUUAAGAAAACUCAAGCACAUGGUUAGUCUCAAAGGGUCAAGUUGUAGCACAUCUCCCCCAAAAUAUGUGCAUUAUUCAUACAUGGACUUUUGAGGUCCGGGGAGUGUUUGUACAACUUGAACACCAUAAAUAAACAACAAUAUGCAUAAAGGAACAUGCUCAAAGGCAUAAACACAUGUAUGAUAUAAAUCAAUCCAAGUUCCGCGAAUCUAAGACAUUUAGCUCACAACGCAGCCUGCAAAAGGUCGACUCAUCUAGAGGCUUGGUAAAGAUAUCGGCUAGCUGGUUUUCGGUGCUAACAUGAAACACUUCGAUAUCUCCCUUUUGUUGGUGGUCUCUCAAAAAGUGAUGCCGGAUGUCUAUGUGCUUUGUGCGGCUGUGUUCAACAGGAUUAUCCGCCAUGCGGAUAGCACUCUCAUUAUCACAUAGGAGUGGGACUUUGCUCAGAUUGUAGCCAAAUUCCCUGAGGGUUUGCCUCAUCCAAAGUAGUUGCGCGCAACACUGUCCUGCGGCAACAUACUCGGCCUCAGCGGUGGAUAGGGCAACAGAAGUUU